rnacentral:lncRNA from 1 species
AGGAAAUGGCAGCAAGGAAACAGUGCACUUCAUCGCAGCUGGCGUUGGCCUGGGUACACCACCAGGGUGAUGAUGUAUGUCCUAUUCCUGGAACCACCAAGAUCGAAAACUUCAACCAGAAUGUUGGAGCUCUGUCUGUCAAACUAACGCCAGAAGAAAUGGCUGAACUCGAAUCAAUAGCUUCUUCGGAUGCUGUAAGAGGAGAUAGGUAUGGCGUUGGCAUGCUUACAUUCAAGGAUUCAGAUACUCCACCUCUUACAUCAUGGAAAGCUGUAUAGAAGGCAUGCUGCCAUACCAUCCUGUCUUGCUUCUACUCGUGGAUUUCAGCUCCCUUUGAAGUUUUCUAAAACUGUGAGAGUUUGUAAACCAUCUGAACUUCUGAAGAGAAUAAGAGUUUGUACACCAUCUGAACUUCUGAAGAUAAUAAAUGUUUUCGUAAUCUAAAAGUAUUGCAACUUUCUUUUAGCUUUGCUAUAAAAAGAUGGUGUUCCUUAGUUUGUCCUCGUAGAAAUUUCUAAUUGUUGAUAGUGAUCAGAACCUCUGUGUUAUACCUGUCAUUCUCGAUUUAAAGACUUACCUAGAAAAUAGUUGUCCUCAUUUAUUUAUUUUUUUAUUGAAUCAGAAAGCUAGGUUUGAAUUAGAUUUAGCGAGAUUAAAUGGAUCAUUAAAAAUCUAGUCGGAUUUAACAACUAUAUUUUAUGCUAAAAACUUGGCUCUGGUUUGUGAUCAUGCACUCAUUGAAGGUUCUAUAUAGUCUAGCAUUUGCAUGUCAAUGGCUGUUUGCGUUGGGAUUUCAAUGUGUGUCCAAAAGAGAGUCAUGUCAUUGCCUUGACUUGUUAGUUUAAUAUAUUAUGUACUUAUAUAAUAAUAUUAUUAUAUUUAUGUAAAUAUAUAUUUGUUAUUAAUAAAAAGUUAAUUUAUCACUAAUAUUUAUAUAAUAUUAUAUUAAUAAAUUUAAUAUUUGAUUUAUGAAUCUAGAGUAAAGAUAAUGUUUAUGCUAAAAAAAUGUUUUGCAAAUGAAAUUAUAAAGUUGUUAUAAUUAUGAGAUUACUAUGACAUGAAAGCAUUGAUCUUAAAAUGUUUAUGGUCGAGAUGCUCUCUUACCUAUUAUAUAUAUAUAUAUAUAUUUUUUUGUGAAAGGAAGUGGUUGUUCUCAUAAGCUGAGUUAUAAAGAAUACCUAAAACUAAUAUGUAGAUAGUUAUCAUAGGAUAUAUAUACUAACUUGACCCGCAUGAGGAUUCUAUAUGAAGAGAUUAUAUAUGUCUAUGGAAAGGCUCAUGAUUAGUACUUAAAAUUGUAUUUUUAUCAAGGUUUUAUAUCAUUAUUUUGCACUUGAAAUAUCAAUAACUUCUUAACUAAAGCAUGUUUUAUAAUAAUAUAACUAAUAAUAUAAGAUACUUUUAAUUUAUAGUAAAUAUUCAUCUUAAAUGCAGGUCUAUCACAUAGAUAAAAGGAUUGAUUAAGGAGUUUAAGUAUUAAAAUUGAAAAGACAAAGAAAGGGCCAAACUUAGAAAAAAGAUGUUAGUGCAGUCCAAACUGGAAUACUGUUCGGUAAUUGGGUCAUAUCUUGAGUUUUAGAUGUCCAAAUGACUUUAAAUGUUUAGACAAAUUCGGUAAGACAUAGACCUACAACUUUCAUGUGGAGUCCAAGAUUUAAAAAGACCGUUUUCAAGUCCAAGUUAUAGCAACAACAGAGAAGUUCAGAUUUGUCAUGCAUCCUAGACACUGUUCAGUGUUCAUCCCAUAUCUCGAGCUAAAAUUCCAAAUGACCUCAAUUUUUUUUCCUGAAGGAUAAGACAAUUUUCUAUAACUUUCAUGAGUAUAGGUGAUUCCAAUUUUGAUGCUAACAAUGACAUUUUAUUCAGACAAGAAGAUAAGGAUUUUCACCAAGUCAAGAGUUGGCCACCCACUCAACAAUUAGUCAUCAAAUCAAUAGUUUCAAAUUUUAGCCUAUAAAAGGAGGCAUUUGCCAUGUAUUUAGGGGCUUGGUUGUUUAGAUCAAGAACUUGUUAUUGCUCUCUCUCUUUAUAUAUAUAUAAGUUUUGCUUUCAUUAAUAUCUUGUUUAUACUUUUCAUUUCCUUUCCUUUAUUUAGUUAACUUGUAUCUUAUAUAUAUUUUUCAAUUUAUUCUAUUAUACAAUAUCUUUUUAUUUUUCAAUUAAGAAAAAUCAUGAUAUAAUGCAAACACUUCCUUCUCUUACAUUAUAAAUUGAAUUGAAAUUCUACAUAAAAUAACAAGGAAAUGAAUACAACACCUAUUGCACUUAAAAGUGAAUUAUAAAAUAAAAUUAAAUAAGAGAGAUCAAACAUUUAUUUAUUAUAGUUGUGACACAAUUCAUCAAGGAUUAACAUAUAAAUUGUUUUUUUCCCUUCUCCACACAAACCAAAAGAAUGGCUAGUAGGUGUAGAAUUAUCUUUUCCAAUAGAUCUAUUGUGCAUUGCAAAAUUAGUUGGGGAUAAAUUGGUUAGUAUAUUUUUGUUUUCACUAUCAUAUUACUUUGUCUUUUUAUUAUUAUUUGCACAAUAAAACUACACUUAUAUCUUUUAGAGAAAAUAACCAUUAAAAUAGGGUUUUUUUUUUGUAUUUUUAGUUUUUUGAACAAUGAAGUUACAGUAUUACCUUAAAAUCAAAAAAAUAUACAUCUAUUUUAAAGGGUAAUUUUGGUUUUUACUUAUGGGUUUUUUUGUUAUUUUUAGGUUGGUCUAAGGGUUUUUUGUCAUUUUAAAAGACUAAAUAUUAUUACAAAAAACAAAUUGUUGAUGCAUUAGUGCAUGAUGAUUCCCGCGAGAGGCGCAUGUAGGGCCUUCCAAUUAUCAAAUCCCACCAUAUAAGGCAGUGUUAAGAGAGGCUCAUCAUGCUUUUUUUAGUAGUGUGGUGCAUGCUUUUGGAGGAGGCAUAGUUAACAAGCCUUUUUUUUCUCCUUUCUUUUCUUUUUCCUAACCUAAAACUUUAUGCCAGCCCAUCCAAAAAAUAAUUUUGUCCUUCAUUUUGUAUUUCUAUUAAUCUUGGCUCUCAUUCUUUGAAUUACUAUUUGUUUUGUUUUAAUAUUUUUUUUGGAUUUUAGUUUUUUAUUUAUUUCAUCCCUGAGAAUUUUAUUUCAUUUAAUUUUUGUAUCUAAUUUGAUCCUCAUUAAUUUUAUUACUCUUUAUUAGUGUUUUAUCCUUUUCUUGAUUUUUUUUAGUUUUUUCAAUUUCAUCCUUAAUUAUCUCAGGAUUUGCCUAGGUUCCGACCAGAAAAUCUUGAACAUAAUACACAACUAUUUGAGUGAGUUAAGGAAAAAUUUAUUGUAAUUAUAACUCUCAACCAACUCAAUAUUAAAAAAAUAAAAUAAAAAAAUCAUAAAAAAAACAUGUGGGAAAACACUGUAGCAAUCCAUAGUGUUUUAAAAAAUAUAUAUGAAGCUAAAUUCUAACCAGCUCAAUAUUAAAAAAAAAUCGACAAAGAUAAUUUUUGAAAAAAAUUAUAUAUAAAAAAAAAAGCACAAGAAAAGAAAAUAAAAAUGUCAUGUGGGGAAACACUGUAGCAAUCCACAAUGUUUUAAAGAAAAAAAAUUACAAAGGUAAAUUCUCAACGAGGUCAAUAUUAAAAAAUUAAUCUAAAAAUAUAAUUUUGAAAAAAAAUCAUAAAAAAACCAUGUGUAGAAACACUGUAGCAAUCCACAAUAUUUUGUGAGAAAAGCCAUAAUUGUAAUUCUUAACCAGCCCAAUGGUGAAAACUAAAAAAAAAAACAAAAUAAAUAAAUAAAUAAUAUUGUAGCGUAACAUAAUAUGAUACAUAUAUGUAAUGAGAUACCAAGAAAUCCAAAUUCAUUUCAUUAUUUAUAUGUUGAAUAGUCAACAGACAAUGAAUCUUAAGUAGCAGCUCUGAUACAACAAUUGUAAGACAUAUACUCUAACAGAGUGGCUUAACACAACCAACCUUUUAAGCAUUUACCAGCUACUCACUGGAGUGUCAUGUCUUAUCAGAUGAUAACAAAAGCUUCUAGUUUAAAAUGUAAAGAGGUAAAAGAGCUUGAAGAACAGAGAAUUAGAAAAGCAAGUUCUUUAUUGAAGAGGCUUCUAGUCUACCAUCUUAAGGUUCUACCAUUACAACAUUACACACAGCCUCUAUAUAUAGUACUUUGAGGCUUUUGCUGACAUCAUUCAUUACAUCAGAAAGCAUUAAAGCACACUUAAUAAUGCACCCUUACAUGACUUAUGACACAAAUGACAAGCUAGUACAACACCAAUAUCAAUCGACAACACUAAUAUCAACCGACAAUAGGUUCAUGAUCUAGAGAGAGAUUUUGGUCUGACAGGUUAUCCUGAUCACGAAUAGUUUGGACUUAUAGGGCCAGCACAUAGUCAUCUUCUGCAAGUAUUUCCAUCUCAUGUGGUUCCAGAAGCUUUGGUAUUCCCAAAAUUAUUUAUUUGAGUUUUUUUUUUUUUGUACUGCCUCUGCAAGUUAUGAAGAUAAGCAGAAUAUUGAUAGUCAUAUAGAUCAUAGUCAAUUUCUUCAACAGGAUCUAUUUCUUUAAGCCAUAUUUCAUCAAGAAUAAUGUUGUUUUUAAGGCACACUAUUUUUUGCAAGGUCCUGAUGUCCUGGAGGUUAUCUAAGGGGUUUUCAUACAGGAGUAUGGAUGAGUUUUGUAUACUGCAGCCUGUGAAAAACUCAUAACCAUAUUGUCUGCUGAAGCUUUGAAAGGCAUGUGGAAUAUGAAAACAGAGAAUAGAUGGGAAAAAGCUUGCUUAACAGAUUUAUUACAAAGUGUACUGCGAUGUACUUCAAUCCAGCAGGUUUAUGCAUAGGGCUAUUUGGAUUUUUCCUGUUGGAGAAGAGAGAUCCAUUAUGUGGGGUUGUAGAACCACGUAAGGAACUUUAGAGUAUAGUUCCAAGAGUCUGCUAGCCAAGAUGUCCUGAGAAAUCUAGAACGAAAAAAAUUGGUGGGAAACUCAAUAACAAUAUGGUACAGGUGACAAAAAUACCAUAAGAAAAAGUAGAGUUCUUUGGGGAACAAUCCAGCAGGUUUGAAGGUGAAGAGGUGAAUGAAAGGAUAUUUAGGAUGGAUGCCUAAGCUUUUGAAACAAGGGGAAGACAUAUCAUAGUUGAGAAGAAGGUAGUCUUGGAGGCUAAAUAGUUUAUCUUUUGCUUGUAGGUCAAGAGUGUGGUUAAGAACCAUAUCUUGAGCAAGAAGGGGUAAGUCAUAUGCAGGGAAUUCUUGUUCAGGUGGAGGAAGAGUGGAAGAUAAGGCCAUAAGAAUCAGGGAAAUGAGUAGUGUUUAUGAUUUGGGUGGUCUGGUGAGCAUGUCUGGGAUCAAGUUCUUGUUCCUUUUUAUAUGCUCAACAGUGAAGGUGUACUUGGAAAACCACUCAGCUAAUCUCAGAAGCUAUGGAUGAGGAAGCAUCUUGCGCUUAAACUAUAACAUUUUUUGAAAUAAGGAACAGUCCAUGACAACUGUAAAGUGAUAGGCUGCUAGGUGAAACUCAAAUUUUUGGAUGCCAUACUUUACAAUUAAGAUUUCCCUGAAAGUGGAGUGGUAGUGGGUUUCUGACUCUUUGAAUGACUCACUUUUAUAGCCAUAUAUGUGUCGAUGGCCAUCUUUUUCUUCUAGGAGUACAACACUCCAAUACUUAUCAUUGGCAUCAGGUUAGAGUAUGCUUGUUCUAUUUAUAGAAUGACUAAAGCAGGUAAAUUUUGUGUGGGUGUCUUUAAUUAUCUGACAGCUUGAGUUUGCUUUUUUGUCUAAGAGUCUGCAUCUUUCUUGAGCAUGAGCUGAAAUGGCCUUGUCAUCUGUGCAACUCUAAGGAUAAAAUUUUUGAGAUAUUGGACAAUUUCCAAAAACUAUUGGACUUGCUUUCUUGUGAGGGGGCAUCUAAAAACUUUUAGAGUUCUUCAGCUAUAUAAGUGUCAGGUGUAUAAGCACCAUCUGCAAAGAUCAUACCAAGAAAUUUGAUUUUCUUUUGACAGAUGAGCUUCUUACUUUCAAAAAGCAUGAUACCAUGGUAGGGAACAAUCUCUGUAAAUUGCUUUAACAAAGUAGCAUGUGACUCUCAUCUUUGGAGAAAAGUAACACAUCAUCAAUGUAGAUUAAAGUUGAUCGAAUCAUGGGUUCAAAUACUUUAAUCAUGGCCUUUUGAAAUAAUAAGGGUACCACUUUGAGACCAAAAGGUAUGACUCGCCAUUGAUAAUGAUGGUCUGGUAUGUAUAAACCUGUUUUGUAUCUAUCUUUAGGAUGAAUGCCAAGUUGCCAAAAUCCGGUCUUGAGAUCAAACUUGGAGAAAACUUUGGCAUUGUAAAGGCAUAAGAAUAAUGUCAUUAUGUUUGGCAAAGGGAACUUAUCAUCUUGUAGGAAAUGAUUCAAGGGCUGAUAAUUAAUUACCAAUCUGAGCUUGCCUUGUUUUUGUUCAAACCUUUUAUUAACAUAAAAGGCUUCACAAGACCAUUAUGAGUCUGUAGGUUCAAUGAGACCUUAGGCCUGUAGCUGGACACAUUCAUCUUGAGCUAGAGUCUUGUGCUCAGGAUUCAUUCCUGAAUGACUGGCUUUCGUGGGAUUAAUGUCUUCAUUAUACUUGAGAGGAAGCUAAAUAAAAAAUAAAAAUAAAAACUAUAGAUUUUGCCAUUAUGUUUAGCAAGAAAUUCUUGAUGAGAGUUUGAACAUGAGUGUUGGAUAAUUUGGGCUUUGAUGAGGGAAAUGGUUUCUGUGAGAGAGGGUUGGAUUUCAUAGAGUGAAGGGAUAAUUGUAUAUGAGAGAAAAUGGGCUUUAUACUGAAUACCACGAGGAAGGAUUCUGAACUUGGAUUUGAAAUAAACAUCAAACCCAAUAACUAAAUCUUUACCAUGUAAAAAAAAACCAAGGACAUGGGUUUUGACUGAACAUUAGGGCAUGAUUUGUAUGGUAAUGGGCUUUUUAAUUUUGAAGUGGGUGUAUAAUACUUGAUCAUCUACAGCUCAAAAGUAUUCUGUAUGUGGGACCCAACAAUGUAUUGGAAGAACUUUAGGGUUAAGAAUGGUUCUAUGGGCUCUUGUGUCAAAUAAGGCUAUGGCUUUGAUGGGCUUAGCAUAUGUGGAGGUAAGAAUGGUAACAGGGGCUUAGCAUAGUCGUAGACGUAACCGUGGGCAUUACUAAGGGUGUAACUGCUUGUGUAGCCAUGUGGGUGCAUAAUUGUGGGCAUAACCACAAGCAUAACUACUAGGAUGUCAUUGGCGCAACCAUAGACACAGUCACUGACACUAGCCAUUAGAAGGGCUUUUGAGAAAUAUGAAUAAACUAGCUUUUUAUUUAGUUUCCACAAAUGGUGUCAAUGAUGAGGUCCUAAAAAAUCCAUGUAGCUUAGGAGCAUGACUUAUAUAUUGGAUAAUCAAUUCAUUUCUUGGUUCUAGCAAUCUGAUCAAUUCUCUCUAGCCAAGGUGAUUGGUAGCUUCCACCUCGUGCCUGGUAAGUUAGGGUGAGAAUGAAGAGAUUAUGAUCUUAGAGCUUGAAAGAUUCAUGGGGUAAUUAUAGCUUAUAAGUCUUAUUAUUUUAUAGAGAAAAAUGGUUGAAUUAUUUCAUCCCUAAAAUAUUUUGAGUUAUAUUUCACUCAAAAUAAUAUGUAUUGAAUUAAUAUAAAAUAUUGAGAAAUCUGUAUGGGUCCUGAAAAAUUACCGAGGAAUUGUUGGGCUCAAACAAGUUGAUUAAACCAUUUGGAGCAAAAAAUUAAUCUAGAUGCAUUUCCUGAAGCUCAUAGUCAUUGGGGAUUUUAAGCUGAUUAAAUUUAAAUUUAUCACUUCCUAUAAACUUUAAAGAAGUGAGAUGCUUCAGUUUCAUUCUAGAGGUAUAGAAUUAGUUUUACUAGUGGGUAUAGAAUGUAUGGUUAAAGGGUUCUCUUUUCUUUACGCAAACAAUUGGUAGGACUUCUUUUCACGCAUGCUAGGGGUGAUAUUUUUAACCAUUUGUUUUGACUUGAAAAAACUUCAUUUACCCUACCUUGCAAUUCCAUUUAUACAAGCACUUGUUUAUUUUUAUAUUUUAAAAAUAUUUUUGAUUAGUUCUUUUUAUAUUUUUAAAUUAUUUUAAUAUAUAAAUAUUAAAAAUAAUUGCUAAAAUAGUUACUACUGCAUUAGGAUUUUAUCAUAUGUGGCAUAAUCAUGGGUAUAACCAAAAGCAUAAUUGCUAGCAUGUCAUUGCAAUAAUUGUAAAUAAUGAAUGACAUAGCCACCACUACGUUAGGAUUUUUUCAGCCGUUAAAAAUGCUUUUGAGAAAUAUAAAUAAUCUAGCUUUUUGUUUAGUUAUCAUAAAUAGUACCAAGUAGUGGGGGUGGUUCACGCUGACGUUAAUGUUUUUGGCAUAAAAAAAUAUUAAUAUUUAAAAGUUAGUUUUAUCUGUAAAGUAAAACCAAGACUCUUAAUCUGACUGUAACCCAAUAUUAUUAAUCUGACUGUAACCCAAUAUUAAUAUUUUUAAUAUUAAUAAUAAUAUUAAACUUGUUAGAUCUAAAUUCUUAUAUUUUUUUAUUUUUUUAAAUCAAAUUUAUAGUUUUUUUUUUAUACUAAUAAUUUUUUUUAAAAACAUUAUUAAUUAUAAUGAUAAUGAUAACAAUAAAAAUAAUAAUAAAAAUAAGAAUAAAACUAAUGAUUAUAAACUUAGAUAUGACGUCCCAGCUAGACCCAAGUUUGAGUCUAGUUAACCUAAUAAAAAUAAAAUAAAUAAUAUUUAUAAUAAUAACAAUAACAAUAAUAAUAUUAAAUAUAUUUGACCUAAAUUCUUAUAAUUUUUGAUCUCUUCGAAUAAAAUUUUAUAGUUUUUCUACAAUAAUAAUAAUAUUAUUUUUUUCAAAAUUAAUAAUAAUAACAAUAUUAAUAAUAAAAAUAAUAUUAAUAAUUAUAUUAUAAUAAAAACAACAACAGCAACAAUAAUAAUUUUUAAUUUUACUCUUUAAAUCAAAUCUAUUCAUACUAACCGCUGUUCAUGUAAUGGAGCGCAAGCUCUAACAUCAUUUGAGUUACGUUGAUGCUUACGUUAGAAAUUGUUCUUGGAUGACUACGAAGUCUCUUCAUUCACUUCCUCUAUUUAUGGCAGUUUCCUUUUAUUUGCUAGGCUGAGCCGAGAACUCGUACACACACUGAGUCCGUCAUUCUUGAGAAGCAAAUUAAACAAGAACAAGAGAGAUGGCAACAGUGAGAAGGAUCAAGCUGGGGUCACAGGGACUUGAAGUAUCAGCACAGGGACUUGGAUGCUUGGGCAUGUCUGCCGACUACGGCCUUCCAAAACCUGAAUCGGACAUGAUAGCCCUCAUCCACCACGCCGUCAACACUGGGGUCACUUUACUCGACACCGCCGAUGUCUAUGGACCCCACACCAACGAAAUCCUUCUGGGCAAGGCCUUGAAGGCGGGAGGAUUACGACAGAGAGUUGAAUUGGCCACCAAAUUUGGCCUCAGCAUUAAGGAUGGCACUUUUGAGGUUCGAGGGGAUCCUGCUUAUGUGAGAACUGCUUGCGAGGCCAGCUUGAAACGCCUUCAACUUGAGUCCAUUGAUCUUUAUUACCAACAUCGCAUUGAUACCAGCGUUCCUAUUGAAGCUACGGUAUUUCUCUUUAAUUGUUUUUGUUUCUGAAUAUUGUUCUGAUUAAUCUUGAUCGUUCGAUGGCGAUGAUGAUAGUUAGAGAAUUUUCUUUUACUUGAUGAUAUAUUUUCCAGAUCUGUAACAGGAAUAUCCAAAAAUCCUAAAACUUCAGCAUAAACCCACUAAAACUAUAGAUUAGACACGGUACUGAUGAUACCGUCAUGCUUGUUAUGUGCAUUGACAUCUUGCAAUGGUCUCUUUCUUAGCUGGAUUCUGACAAUGCUACUAUUGGGUACUGUCCCUGCAUUCUAGAUGUCUUGCAGUUGUGUACUCAUAACUCUUUUCUUUGCUAGAUGGGGGAACUCAAGAAACUAGUUGAAGAAGGUAAAAUAAAGUAUAUAGGUCUGUCUGAAGCCUCUGCUUCAACAAUCAGACGAGCUCACGCUGUUCAUCCGAUCACAGCCGUGCAGUUGGAGUGGUCACUGUGGUCAAGAGAUGUGGAGGAAGAGAUUGUUCCUACCUGCAGGUGAGGCAUUGAUGAGAAAAACUAAUUUCCUUUGGAGAUCAAAAUAACCGAAACCUUAGGCUGUUUAUGGGAUGCCUUAGAUAUCGAGAUUCUGAUCUUAUCAUUCUAAUGGUUCAGGGAACUUGGCAUUGGGAUUGUUGCUUACAGUCCUCUAGGACGGGGAUUCCUUUCCUCUGGGCCUAAGUUGGUUGAGAGCCUUACAGAUGGUGACUUCAGAAAGGUAGGUUCUUUUCUUUUUGAACAUAGAGUUUGUGAUCUGUGUAAUACAUGUCCAGUAAAUAACCAAUUGUACAAGCAUAAUCUUUUACAGUUUGGAAAGGAAGUAAUGUCACAAAUAACAUUUCCUCCUUUGACAGUUAUAUGCGUUACAUAAUAAUAUAAAACCAUUCUUGAAAACUCAUCUAAUAACUUAAACUUUUAAGUAACGAGUUUUUGACAAUAUAUUGGUUAGCUUAGAUGCCUCAAAAAAUAGUCUCUUCCAUCUUAUGGAGUGGUUUGGUGGUCUAAACUCCAUUGAAGAAACUUGCACAAAGUAAAAGUUUAGCUUUGAGAUCAUUAUAUAUUUUUACCUAGCAGUUCCUUCACAUUUGCAUUAUUCCUACAAAUAUGCUAUACACUUGGAUUGCUUAAAGAUUCAAUCAAAUAAAACACAGAUUUACAGGAUCUCCUUGUAUUAGACAGGUGGCUUUAGUUUGUCCCAUGCAUGUCCAAACAAAAAGUUGUGCAUACUUAAUGUUUUGCUUAAAUCGUUCUCUCUGAUAUUCAAUCUUCAGUACUUUUGAAUUCCUAAAAUCUGCUCACUCGCCUUGUACAUGGGAAUUUGGCAUGCUUGCACCCAUAAAAAACUGCGUUGUAUACAAUAUCAUGAUGGUUUGCGUUUAGUACUAGGAAGUUUUGUUAUGGCAAGAAGGACAUGUUGCAUAAACUAUAAUCUAUGAUGCUUUCUUCUUGAUGAGUUUUGUCAGGCUUAGCUGCUGAAAUUAACUAGUGUUUCAAUUGUCUCAGCGAUUGCCUAGGUUCCGACCUGAAAAUCUUGAACACAAUACACAACUAUUUGAGCGGGUUAAGGAAAUGGCAGCAAGGCGGAUAAUAAUAUUAUCUAUAAUUGAAUCCAUACCUGGAUAUCUUCUAUUGGUCUUUGGGAGACUCUGCCCUUGUACUUUCGCCAUUAUUCGGCGCCAACGUCAACACUUCUGCCCUUCCUUCACUCUUCAUCGGGACUUACUUGUGCUAUUCAGACGCUAUUCAGGCGACUUAAGAAGUAGGCUACUUACAGAAUGCAGGUAGACCGUUUAGAAGUUCUUACGAACUUAAGAUUAUCUACAAAUGUAGAUAUAUUAAACUUUUAAAUCCUGUUAAGGAUUUCUUUUAUUGAAAGGAAAACUUUGUUACAAGAUUGAGAGGUUUUUCAAACAGGGUUGGUGCUUCAGAUUAGUUCUGAAGUUCUAAUUACAUGGUGUAUGGCUUUUAUAGCCGAAAAUUGGAAUAGUAAAAGAACUACAUAGUUCCUUUUUAUAGUGGUAGGGUCCACUGAACAGUAGCCUGACUAAUUACAUUUCGUCGGCUUCUCUUUUCUUUCCUAGCUGGCAGGAAUCUUCUGAGUGCUCUCCACUAUUGGAGGAACAAGUCUCCAUCAUGUCUUCUUCUGGACAGAAGUCACAUUUGUGGUCCUCACUGGCGUAGGAGCAAAAUUUUCUCUUUGUAGCCACUGAGAUGGCUAGGUCAUUGCAGUAGAACUGUUUCUCGAACCGUUCUAUUCUUUGGCAAUCUUCUGGACUGAUGGUUUGAAGACUAUCUGUGGCCAUUAAUACAUGGUCGCUUUGAUAGUUGAUUCUGACUUUUGAAUCAGUAUACAGGGAGGUCCUGAUCUUUUUUAGGACAUGUCCUAAAGUUUGUGCUCUCAACUUUGGCAAAGCUUCGUGCAGGUUGGGAGUCAUAUUUUUUUUGUUUCUGUACAUGGACGUACAUCUAUCUGCUUCCUGAGCAGUCCCAUUUUGAUGAAAUGGUAAGCAGGAUAGUUCCUGAGACUAUCAGUCUCAUCUUCAGUUUCUUCCCAGUCAAGGAAUGAGCUUUUAAAAGAGAGAUAUACUCUCCGUUCUGGGUUCUGGAGAACCUUCUGGCGAUAAUGCUUCACCGCUGUUAACACUUUGUUGGAAGGAGACUAAUCUCCUUAAGAUUUGAGCUGGGGUAUGCUGCAUUUAGUAACCCACAAUAAUAUAAUGUCUGAACAAACUUAGGUUCAGCACCUAUGGUUACGUUGUAUAACGGAAUCCUUUGGUUUCACUUAUAAAAAAGUGGUUUUGUUCAUCAGAACAGGUUGACUCGGCUAGAGUAUAGUAAUGGUCAAAAGUUUCAAUAGGAAUGAACUCAUGAUCAUCUGGGUUUUGGACCCUAACUUUUUGGAACCUUGAAAGGGUUCUUGGGAUGACCGGACUAGCGGGCAUUUUAGCUUUGUCUGCAAAGGUUGGUGUCUUUGAUAUUUUAGGCUGGAUAAUAUCAGCUGGUGUAAUCAAUCGAGGGACACUUUGGAUUGGGGUAUUGUGUUUGACACAAUAAUCAUAAAAUGCUUUACGAGCAAGCUCGUAUGAUUUGUAGCCUUGGUAGGCAUAUGGCUUACCUGAUACCAGUGGCUGGACAGUUGACCAUUCUCUAUAGACACCUGCUGAAGGGCCUGAAAAAAUAACAUAACAUUUAUGUGCUUCUGGCACAGAAUAUGGAUUAGAGAGCUUUAAAGCUGACUCUAUCUUUUGUAAUCCUUGAUCAAGGACUUUUGGUGUCGAGAUAACCAAAUCUUCUGGACUGGAAGGAGUCUGUGAAGACUGACCAGUUUUUUCCUUGGCAACUGCCAUCUUUUCUGAAAAUCUUUCAAGAAGACCUUCUGCACUAAUUGGAAUAGUGUCUAACUUUUGAGAGAGUUUACCUCUUUUUUCAGUGAGCCGCUCAAGCUUGAGUUGCUUUUCCUGAAUCCUUUUUUGCGUCUUGGCAAUCUUUAUGUCGAGAUCAUUGAUCUCUUCUACUAUGUCUGUUCUAGACAUAUCUUUGAUAACUCUCGAGAGAGAGCGUCUGCAAACACGUUCUUGAUGCCUUCAACGUGUUCAAAUUCUAUGUCAAAGUAUUGCAACCAAAGUUGCCACCUGACUAAUCUUCCUUGCUUGUAAGAACCUGUAAUGUUAGUGUUUAAGAAAUAAAACACAUGUUUAUUGUCAGUUCUUGCUUUGAAUCUCACUGGGAUAAGAUAUACUGAAAACCGUUUAAUGGUAUUUAUAAGGGCGAGGAGCUCUUUUUCAUUACUGUGGUAAUUUUGUUCUGCGGGUUUAAAAGUCCCACUAGCAUAUCCACAUAUUAACUCUGGUCCUUCUUCAGGCUGUGAUUUAAGGAUUCCUCCCCAAUAUUUAUCUGAGGCAUCAGUCUCAAUAAUUAAAGGCUCAUCUGGUCCUGGGUGGUGGACAGGUGGAAGAUGUUUAAUUGCCUUUUUAAUUUUAUCGACAUAGUCGGUAUCUUCUUUUGACCACUGCCAAACAGUGUCUUUCUUUAGUUUUGCCUGUAGAGGUUGGCGAAUCUGUGCAACCUUAGGGCAGAAAUUAGAAACAUAAUUCAAUAUUCCUAAAAAUCUUUGUAACUGUUUCUUAUCAGUUAUAUUACUGUCAAAUUCACCUAGGUGAUUACCUAUAUGACUUUGAAGUUUUAUUUGUCCUUUAUCAAUUAUUAGACCGAGAAAGUUAAUGCUUUCUUUAAAUAAUUGAGCUUUAGGUAAAGAUAAGAUUACUCCUAUUUCUUUACAUCUGUCUAGUACUUUUGAACGAACAGAUUUAAUGCAGAGUGGUGAUAUGCCUCUCAGUAUUACCUAUAAGAUUUGUUAUUCAUUAACAAAUAGUCAUCAUUCUAUGAUGUUUAAAAAUAAAGAUCCCAUCAGUAUUGAAGGAAUCUUUAAAGAAUUUGGACAGAUAUCCAGCAUACCGUUUCAAAAGGUUGAACCUCUUGAGUCAGUUUGGGCUAUGGACUUAAGUCCUAAACCCUUCUUAGGUGCCCAACCUAAGUUAAAAAUUAUGGGAACUCCGAAUUCACAGUUCGGGUUGAGGAAUCUCAGAGAGAUUGGUGGACGUCCAGUCCAACAACAAAAUACAAUGGAUAGGAAAGGAAUUCCUAUGCUAGUAAACCAAGAAUAUUCAUCUGAAGAAGAUGAACGACCAACAGUCAUAAAUAAUUGGACAUACAAUCCAAAAUGGAAUGGAGAGUCAUCUUCCUCACAAAACCCUGAAGCUUUAGUCAAAGCUAGAUAUAGGAUGAAUGGUUUACCACCACCACAAAAUGAUAGCUUGUCCGCUAUAAGUAAAAGGAUAAAUCAUCUUAGUUUAGAUUUAUCAGACCAAGAAAUAUGAAUAAUCCUCAUCAAGGAAAACCUCAUAUCUUCUUUAAUAAAAAAUAUAUUGGUUUAAAACACCAAAAUGUUACGGUUAAUCCACCGCCUUAUACUUAUCACGGAGGACGUGGUAUUGAUGGUUGUCUCAACCAUUUAAACAAUAUUAAUUCAGUCUUAGGAUCUGUGUUAAUAAUGAUUACUAGCCUUACCAGUAUGUUUGGUUUCCAACCCAAACACAUUUUUCAGUGAGGGGGAUAGUGACAUUGAAGACUUCCCAAAACCAACAAAAAAUCCACAAUUCUUAGAUAAUGGAUUAAAAGAUUUAGUUUCAAAUGUUCAUACAACAUUAGGAACUCUAGAAAAAGAUUAUAAAACUUCUAAAGUUUUACUAGAAAACAUGCAUCUAAGACUUCAGUCCUUAGAACAAAAAUUAGGAUCUUUAGAUUCUUUACAAAAUUCCAUACAAGGAAUAGAUUUACAAAAGAUUGAACAAAUCCUAACUGUUGUUCAAAAUAUCGAUCAAAAGGUUUAGUCAAGAUGACUACGGGAAAAAUAGAUAGCCUAGAAAAGGUUAUUACAAAACUAGCAGAAGACUUUAGGUUGCUAGAAGACAAACAGAUUACGGUCCUACAAAGACACGUAGAAACCUCUGCAGCAUCUAUUAUUGCUGCCUUAAGGAAAGAUCUAGAUGAGAUCAAGAAAAGCCUGUUAAUCAUGACAGAUGCCAUAAAUUAUUGUGCAAACACUAACAUUUCAGGCCCUUCAGCAGGUGUCUAUAGAGAAUGGUCAACUGUCCAGCCACUGGUAUCAGGUAAGCCAUAUGCCUACCAAGGCUACAAAUCAUACGAGCUUGCUCGUAAAGCAUUUUAUGAUUAUUGUGUCAAACACAAUACCCCAAUCCAAAGUGUCCCUCGAUUGAUUACACCAGCUGAUAUUAUCCAGCCUAAAAUAUCAAAGACACCAACCUUUGCAGACAAAGCUAAAAUGCCCGCUAGUCCGGUCAUCCCAAGAACCCUUUCAAGGUUCCAAAAAGUUAGGGUCCAAAACCCAGAUGAUCAUGAGUUCAUUCCCAUUGAAACUUUUGACCAUUAUUAUACUCUAGCCGAGUCAACUUGUUCUGAUGAACAAAACCACUUUUUUAUAAGUGAAACCAAAGGAUUCCGUUUAUACAACGUAACCAUAGGUGCUGAACCUAAGUUUGUUCAGACAUUAUAUUAUUGUGGGUUACUAAAUGCAGCAUACCCCAGCUCAAAUCUUAAGGAGAUUAGUCUCCUUCCAACAAAAGUGUUAACAGCGGUGAAGCAUUAUCGCCAGAAGGUUCUCCAGAACCCAGAACGGAGAGUAUAUCUCUCUUUUAAAAGCUCAUUCCUUGACUGGGAAGAAACUGAAGAUGAGACUGAUAGUCUCAGGAACUAUCCUGCUUACCAUUUCAUCAAAAUGGGACUGCUCAGGAAGCAGAUAGAUGUACGUCCAUGUACAGAAACCAAAAAUAUGACUCCCAACCUGCACGAAGCUUUGCCAAAGUUGAGAGCACAAACUUUAGGACAUGUCCUAAAAAAGAUCAGGACCUCCCUGUAUACUGAUUCAAAAGUCAGAAUCAACUAUCAAAGCGACCAUGUAUUAAUGGCCACAGAUAGUCUUCAAACCAUCAGUCCAGAAGAUUGCCAAAGAAUAGAACGGUUCGAGAAACAGUUCUACUGCAAUGACCUAGCCAUCUCAGUGGCUACAAAGAGAAAAUUUUGCUCCUACGCCAGUGAGGACCACAAAUGUGACUUCUGUCCAGAAGAAGACAUGAUGGAGACUUGUUCCUCCAAUAGUGGAGAGCACUCAGAAGAUUCCUGCCAGCUAGGAAAGAAAAGAGAAGCCGACGAAAUGUAAUUAGUCAGGCUACUGUUCAGUGGACCCUACCACUAUAAAAAGGAACUAUGUAGUUCUUUUACUAUUCCAAUUUUUCGGCUAUAAAAGCCAUACACCAUGUAAUUAGAACUUCAGAACUAAUCUGAAGCACCAACCCUGUUUGAAAAACCUCUCAAUCUUGUAACAAAGUUUUUCCUUUCAAUAAAAGAAAUCCUUAACAGGAUUUAAAAGUUUAAUAUAUCUACAUUUGUAGAUAAUCUUAAGUUCGUAAGAACUUCUAAACGGUCUACCUGCAUUCUGUAAGUAGCCUACUUCUUAAGUCGCCUGAAUAGCGUCUGAAUAGCACAAGUAAGUCCCGAUGAAGAGUGAAGGAAGGGCAGAAGUGUUGACGUUGGCGCCGAAUAAUGGCGAAAGUACAAGGGCAGAGUCUCCCAAAGACCAAUAGAAGAUAUCCAGGUAUGGAUUCAAUUAUAGAUAAUAUUAUUAUCCGCCUUGACUGGCUUGUAUUAAAUGAUGCAUCUACUCUUAGGAUGUUUAUAGAUAAAAUUCAGAAUAAAAUAGAUAUGCUUGAAGAUAGCAUUCCAGAGUAUAUAGAUGAUGAUUGGUUUGACCAACCAGAAAAUGUUCCCUUAAGUUAUAAACUUAAAAUGUUUAGACGUUUGAAAAAGAAUAUUUUAAAAUUACUAGAAGAAGCUGUGGAUGAUUCACAGAGACCUGAUGCUGUAGAUAGCAGUGAUAUAGAUACUAUCAGUGAAAAUGGUAGUUAUAACCCUGACAACCUUUAGGUUGUUGUAUAUCGGCUGGAAACCUGUACAUUGAACCUUGGUUCUAACCUCAGGUAUAACAAUGCCACGUACAACAUUUAGUUGUAUAAAAGAAAAUAGGUUGAUUUUAACCUUUAAAAUAAUUCCGCAAGGGGUUGCAAUUCCAAAUGGUAUCAGAGCCUUGUUUUGAUUAAAAGUAUAUGUUUCCUCGUCUUUGUCGAGAAACUAACAUUGCAGAAAUGAGUUCUAAUACUCAACACGAAGAAGAUUCAGACUUCCAUCAAGAAGUUUUCGAAGCAGAUGGUAUCUUUGCCCAAGAUGUCACGAUAGACAGUAAUGUCUUAGACCAGGUAAGUAAGACAGACUUAUCUUUAAAUUCAGAUGAUGUAUUUAAUUCGUUAGGUGCUAUAGCUAGCUUACGUAAUAAAUUGUUUAAACGUAAGAAUCAUAUUAUUACCUGUGUAGGUACUAGAGAAUAUCCUAUAGAUAUAAAAGAUACACGUGGUAGUACAGAAAUCCCUCUAGUUUUAGAGCAGGAAAUAUCUCAGAAACUUGCUAAGUUACCUACUGAGAUACGAAAAACUAUUUCUUACAUACACGUAGGAAGUAUAAAAGUUAUGAUGAAAUCUACCUUUAGAGUAGGUAUCAAUAGUCCUGUCAAGAUGGCUAUUCUAGAUAGGCGCAUGAACAACCCCAAAGAUGCUAUCUUUGGAGCUGUACAAGGAAAUUUAGCUUAUGGUAAGCUUAUUGGUCCAUUCAUUAUGGUCGUUGGCCAUAUAAUAUUCUAACAGUUGUUCCUUAACUGUCUUGUAUUCCUUCAUGGUCUUGGAAUAUAUGUGAAGGCUGAGAUUACAGCUGGUUUUAAUCCUGAUGGGGAUUUGUCAUCUUUGGCCAUACCUAUGGUAGGUGGUCGAUUGGACUGAGGUGACUCUAUAGGUGAGGCAGUAGGGACACUACCUAAUUUUUUCUCAAAAGCUGCGAGAAUCUCUUUAUUGCAUUCACAUGCUUUUAUACUGUUUGCACAAUAAUUUAUGGCAUCUGUCAUGAUUAACAGGCUUUUCUUGAUCUCAUCUAGAUCUUUCCUUAAGGCAGCAAUAAUAGAUGCUGCAGAGGUUUCUACGUGUCUUUGUAGGACCGUAAUCUGUUUGUCUUCUAGCAACCUAAAGUCUUCUGCUAGUUUUGUAAUAACCUUUUCUAGGCUAUCUAUUUUUCCCGUAGUCAUCUUGACUAAACCUUUUGAUCGAUAUUUUGAACAACAGUUAGGAUUUGUUCAAUCUUUUGUAAAUCUAUUCCUUGUAAUCCUGCAUUUGCGCGCAAUUUUCAAUGUAAUCCUUGGAGUUUAAUUUUGCAAUUUUGACCCCAAACUUUAAUAUUUCUUCAAUUAAAUCUCUGAAUAAGUUAAUUCCAAGCUCAAUUAAGUCUAAAGCUUAUCAAUUCUCCGAUUAAACCCUUAAUUGGAUUAAUUAAAUUAAUUACAAGCUCAAUUAAGUCUCAAAACUUAUCAAUUCUCCAAUUAAACCCUUGAUUGGAUUAAUUAAAUUAAUUCCAAGCUUAAUUAGAUUAAUUCCAAAGUUUAAUUAAACCCCAAAACUUCCAAUCAUGUUGCCCUUAACUCAAAUUUUAAUUCAUUCUUUAUUUAUUUCAUUUUACUUAUUUUUCAUUAUUUUUUUUUUAUCAUCAAUUUUUUACCCUUUUCAGUAAAUAAAAUAAUAACAAUAAUUAAAAUAAAAUGGUCAAAAAUUGGAUUAUGACAAGUGGAAAUUCUAUCAUUAAGGGUUCUAAAUGAUGUAAAACUAAAAGAAUCAGAAUGUGCAGAUCUAAAAUUUGAGUAACGGAGUCUAAUCAACGAGAAAAGAUUAGUAGUAAUUUGUCAUCAUUAACUAUACCAGAGUAGAAUGGUUAAGGUAUACAACAAGAGAGUUAGAACAAAGGUAUUCAAAGAAGGAGACUAGGUAUCGAAAAAGAUCUUGCCAACAUCGGGAGAUGAUCAGAGCAAAUGGACAUCGAAAUAUGAAGGACUAUAUAUGGUGAAUAAAGCCUUUUCUAAAAAAGCCUUGGUUCUGACCAAGAUGGACGAAGAUGAUUUACCUAACCCUGUAAACUCUAACAUUAUAAAGAAGUAUUAUGCAUGAUGUACUUUGUUGAUAUAUCAAUAAAGAUCAAAGUUUGGCCACAAAUGUUUUGAUGCAAUUUCUUUUUGUAAACUUUAAAAAGCUUUACAUGAUUUCAUAGGCUCAAAAUACCUCAUUUUUGUGUUUUUAUAAAAAUAUUUUUUAGAAAAUAAAAGUUAUUAGCAUGAUUGUUAAAAUCGCGUUGUACGAUUUUAUGAGUCAAAACAUGCUUUGUGUGCUAAAUCGUUUGAAAAAAUCAAAAAUUGGUGAAAUCUGGUUGAAAUCGUUAAAAUCAGGUGAAAUCAUGAAAAAUCGCGAUUUCAAGGCCGAUUUCAUGAUUUUAACAAAACGCAUGCACUGAAGCAAAAUGUUCCCCCCAUGCUCUAGAUGUCCAACGCCUAUUGGUUGUGCAAAUGCACAGUCACAUGGUCUUCACUCGAUGUAGAACAUGUGGAUUUUUUCUGCAUACCAUAAAGAAGUGGAGGUUAGAAAUCAAGAGGGCUGCAGAGAUUAAAGUAAGGAAAUAAUAUUAAAUUCCAAUUUAAUUUAGAUUUUUUCUCUAUAUCUUUUACUUUUCUUUGUUAUGUUUGUUGUAACCCAUUUUCGGGUCCCCAAAUAAAUGAAAUAAAAUAAUUAGCCAAAGGAGGUUAGAAAAAUAAUAGGAGGCAGAAGCGCUCGGCAAAUGGUCAGAAAAAUCGGUCAAGGAGGUUAAAAAAACAAAGAUUGGAUUUUUGACAGUAUAUUCUUGAAGGAUGAGAGCCCUGUUGAGAAGGAAAUUUGAAUUUUGAGGAGAAAAACCCAAGUUUGGAUGUUUAUGGACUUAAUUGGAUUUUUAAUUGAUUUUAUAGGGGAUUUGAUUGCAAGAAAAAUUGAUUUUUAAGUCAAUUUGGACUUUAAUUAGAAGAAAUUUAAGUUCUGGGGCCAAAAUAUAUUUUUUAGGAAUUUAUUAGGCCAAAUCAGGGGCUUAAUUGAAUAGAUAUUGAAGUUUAAUGGUCAAUUAGGGGUUUAAUUGUGAAAAAUCGAAACCAGGGACCAAUUUGGAAAAACCCGGUAAAUAGAGGGGGCUGUUUUGCUUUGGAUCAGGGGCCUAAUUGAAGAAAUUGGAAGUUUAUUGAUCAAUUGAGGGCUUAAUUGCAUAAAUCAGAGGCCAAAGACCAAAGUGAAAAACGCGGCCAACAAGAGGGACGGUGACCGAAUUGGCAGGGACGCAAUUGAAAUGAUUAAGGAUUGAUUCGCAAAAGCAUUCUGGCGCCUUUUUGUUUAAAUGAAACGGCGCGUUUUGAACGGCACUGUUCCCCUUUCUUCUUCCCCUCCCCCGAACCUGCAACAGAAGAAAAAUUGUGUUUUUUUAAAAAAAAAACUUCCCGCUCUCUCUCUCCCCUGCAUCUCCACAGAAUUACCUGAAGCCCCCACACCGUGGGACCACCGACCAAAGGCAUUGGCCGACCACCGGCCGAAAGUAGAGAAACGGCCUUGUUGUCGCGGGUGGUGGCCGACCAGCCACCCGCGAAACCCGCUCCAAGGCGCACUAACAAUGGUCUCCCACACCUGUUCUGCCCCUAUAAAUAGAGAAGAAAAUCGAAGAAAAAGAAAGGAGGAGGGACCCGAGAGAGGACCGAGAGAGAGAAAGAGAGAGAGAGUGAACCGAACACUUGGAAACAGCCGCAGCGCCGCCGCCCGGAGCCACCGUGCACGAGCCACACCACCGCCAGCGACCGCCUCCUCCACGCCAGGUACAUUUUCUUCUCCCCCCAUUUUUUUUGUCUUCUGCAGGUUUGCCUCCUGCAUGCAUUCUGCAUGCAGGAGGCGGGGGAAGAAAAUUAAUUCUUCCCCCGCUGGGCCAGCCCGAUGCUGGCCCAGCCUUGCAAGUCUGGGCCGGUCUUGGCCCAGACGUAGGAGUUUUUCGGGCCGAGAUCGGCCCACUUGAGUUUCUCGGGCCGAGAUCGGCCUAAUUUUGUUUCUCGGGCCGAGAUCGGCCCGUCUCCUUUUUAGGGCUGGGCUGGCCCAUUCACUUGGGCCGGCCCAGCCCUAUAAUAUAUUAUAUAUUAUUAUAAAUUAUAAUAUAUAUGUGUGUAUAUGUUAUAUAUAUAAAAAAAAAAUAUUUAUAAAAAAAAUCUAUAAAAUCUAUAAAAAAAAAUGUUGUUAUUUUCCUUUCAUAUAUAUAUAUUUUUUAAGGGGGUUUGUAUUUUUUUUUAUACUGUGGAGGUAUAAAUUCAGUAUUUAAAAUAUCUUAUUUUCGUCGAGACACCCGAAAUUUUCAAAGAUAAAUUUAUUUUUUGCUUUCAAAGAUUUCUAAAAUUCCUUAAAAAUAUUGUUGAUUUUUUUCGUACAUGUUUUAAAAUGACUUAAUAUUAGUUUGUAUUUUUUAUACUGUGGAGGUAUAAGUUCAGUAUUAAAAUACCCGAUUUCGUAAAAAAAAAAUAUAUUGUUUAAAAAAAAAAUGUUUUCUUGCGUGUUGCAUACGGCCAAUACUCUAACAUGUUUUGAAUGUUCUUUUUAUAAAAAAAAAUAUAUUGGAAGCUUCGAAAGUGUGUUUUCGCAUAGAUUUCUUAAACACAAAUUAUUUUCUUGCAUUUCUGGAUUUUACAACAUGUUUGUAAAACUCCAAAGGGUAUUGGCCAAUAUUCCAAAAACUAUAAAAAAAUCUUAUUUUUAGGGAGGAAAUUUAUUUAUUAUUCACCGCUAAUGUUUGGAUAAAGAAAUCCUUAAAAGGAUGAAUAUCCAAAAUAUUAUUUGGAGUAAUAAAUCCGCACACAUUCUUGAAAGAAGCCUUGAUUAUAAUAGAGGACAUUUCAAAACUUCAAAUUUUUAUAUUCCACGAUUUAUGAGUCGCAAACUCUUGAAAUACUAAGGGAAAAUGAGCUUUCAAAGCACAUGGAAUCUCCUUAGAUUUCUAUCCAAAAUCAAUUGACAAGCCUAGAAAAUACCAACACCAUAGCAAUUGUAGAGCAAACCAAACACCAAGCAGCUUACCUUAGGUAUGGCGUACUAGGGGUGCUAAUACCUUCCCUUUACGCAACCAGUCCCUUGCCUUAGAAUCUCUGAAAGACCAGUUAGGGUUCCUAGUGAACAAAAUACUAGGUGGCGACUCCAAAGAACCAAAUCAGCAAAAAAAGAACAAAACGAAAGUCGCCAGUCGAAUGUCGCAAAAAAACAAAAAUUUUGGAUUUUUUUUGGGGUGCGACAAUGUUAUUUUGGCUAUUCAUUGACCUUAAAUUACUUAUGUUUUUUAAUGGUAUGAUAGCAAGUAGAAGAGAUUUUAUAAAUAUAAAUUAGAUAUAAAAAUAGUAACAGGAUAAUUUAAAAAAUUAUAUUUAUUUAAUGGGUUGAUUCACAAAACUCAUAAUUAGAAGCUUAACUCAUGUCAGGUUUUAAUUUAUACAAAUAAAAACACUAAUUUUAAUAAAUUUGAUUACUUUAACUAUAUUUUUAACCAUUUAUUUAACCCGAUCAAAUUUGAUCAAAACUCAAUUAAGUUAAAUCAAAUAAUUUUUUUAAAAAAUAAAUUGUGUUGUUUCAAUCAAAUAAUUAAAAAAUAAUAACCCCAGCUCCUAAAAUAUACUCAAACAAAAUAAUCAUUGACUUGCACAAUUAAAUAAAUAUUUUUCCAUCCCAUAAAUAAUUGAAUUCAUUCCUUCAAUUUACUCGUGGAUAACCUGUCGCUCCAACUUAAAAACCACGCAUAAUCCAUUCGGAUAAUCAUCGAUUUGUCAUCCAUCGAGUGAAAGGCAACUUAGAAAUGCAAGCACCGCCUGUUAACCAUGGAGAAAACUGAAACAGGUAAAGUUUGCACAACAAAGGAGCAGCCAACUUCGCCAUUAACAAGCCCAGUAGAGCUCAAAAACUAUAUAGAAGAGUUAGUUCACUCCUGGGGUUCAAUUUAGGCUCCUCAAAGGAGUCCUCUUCUAGUUCUCCUUACAUGCCCAAGAUGAAUGGUGAUGUCGAGGCAGCUAACAAAAAUCUUAAAAAGAUCAUCUAGAAAAUGAUAGUCACCUACAAAGACUAGCGCGAGAUGCUUCCAUACGUACUUUUCGCAUACUACACCACAGUUAGAACUUCUACAGGUGCAACCUUUUACUUUUUGGAAUAUGGGAUAAAAGCGAUGAUACCUUUAAAAGUGGAAAUUCUAUCAUUAAGGAUUCUAAAUGAUGCAGAACUGGAAGAAUCAGAAUAUGUAGCCUUGAAAUUUGAGUAGUGUAGUAUGAUCAACGAGAAAAGAUUGGUAAUAAUUUGUCAUCAUUAAAUAUACCAAAGUAGAAUGGUUAAGGCAUACAACAAGAGAGUCAGAACAAGGGUAUUCAAAGAAGGAGACCAAGUAUUGAUAAAGAUCUUGCCAACAUCGGGAGAAGAUCAGAGCAAAUGGGCAUCGAAAUAUGAAGGACUAUGUAAGAUCCCACAUCGGAAGUGAGUGUCCAGAGCCAGGACCUUAUAAGUGCAUGCUCACCUUGACUAGUAAGACGCGUUUUGGGAAGUCAGGCCCCACAGUGGGCUCGCUUCUGCAAGGACAAAUCCGUGCGGGCCUGUGGGACCCAAAGCGGACAAUAUCUUGCUAGUGAGGUGGGGUGUUACAUUUGGUAUUAGAGCCGAGGACGGCUCGUCUUAAGAUGGGGGGAUUGUAAGAUCACACAUCGGAAGCGAGUGUCCAAAGCCAGGGCCUUAUAAGUGCAUGCUCACCUUGACUAGUAAGACGCGUUUUGGGAAGUCAGGCCCCAUGGUGGGCUCGCUUCUGCAAGGACAAAUCCAUGCGGGCCUGUGGGACCCAAAGCGGACAAUAUCUUACUAGUGAGGUGGGGUGUUACAGACUAUAUGUGGUGAAUAAAGCCUUUCCUAGAGAAGCCUUGGUUUUGACCAAGAUGGACAUAUAUGAUUUACCUAACCUUUUAAACUCUAACAUUAUAAAUAACUAUUAUGCAUGAUGUACUUUGUCAAUAUAUCAAUAAAGAUCAAAGUUUGGCCACGAAUGUUUUGGUGCAUUUUCUUUUUGUAAACUUUAAAAAGCUUUACAUGAUCUCAUAGGAUCAAAAAACCUUAUUUUUAUGUUUUUAUAAAAAUAGUUUUUGGAAAAUCAAAGUUAUUAGUACAAAUACAGAGGUAAAAUUAGUGUUUGUUUUUUACAAGUGAGUUUUGCGAGUUCAAGUGAUCUCCUAGUGAGGUAACCAAAUCAUUUAAAUGACUUUGAAUUUGAGUUUUAGUUGGCUGAAUAACAAUCAUAAUUUAAUUAUGAUUAAAACAAUUUUGCAUGACUAAACAAUCACAAUGAAAGAAAGCAAAGCUUACUAAUCCUAAACUCAUAUGUUUGAAAUGAGAGAAUGUCAUCUUUAAUAAUCCUUUCACAAUACUUUUAAAAAAUAUCAUUUGCAAGCCCUUAUUAAGCCUAGUAAGUCUUUCCUGCAAAAUAACCAUGACUAGGAUCAUACCCCAUAUUGAGGGAACAUACCAAGAUUAAAAAAGCAAUUUGAUCGCAAGAAUAUAUAAAAUAAUCCUCAAUUAUCAAAGGUGUCCAAACAAAGCAAGAGCAUGAAGAAAUUCAAAGAUUCAAAAAGGUUGAGCAUGCCAUGUAAAAUGGAAAUAAUUAGUAUGAUGAUGACACUCAAAGUCAAAUAAUCCUAACAUUAGGGGCAUGUCAAACUAUUUUGCAAAGUCAACCCUAAGAUCUAUGAAUCCUUUGACCAAAAAGAAGGUUUGGGAACAAGAUUUAGUGAUCAUUGGUCUUAAGAUUUCUUAAACAUCUUUUGAGUCUACAAAUAUCCUUUUCUUUCAUGACCAAAAGCCAAAUCCUACAUUGCGUGCCCAAUAAAGAUCUUUUUAAUCAAAGGCAAACAAUCUAGAUUGGUAAGCGAUUCUUUCCCGUGUGAAAUGAGCUUUUCAAGAAACUUUAAUUAUGCUUUAUUAUUCAUACAAAUAAAAUGAACGCUUCAAUACUAUAGAGAAAUUCAACCUUCAAGAAACCUUAUCUAUGGGAAUCACCCGAGUUUUUUUUUAAGCAAGUUUUAAACUAGCAUUAAAAUGGUUUUUGUUCAUAGGAAUCGCUUGAGUUCUUUGUCCUUUUAAAACAUAUAUUACAUCUUUUUAUGCAUGCAAAAUGUGAAAUAAUUCACGUUAUGUUGUUUGCAUUUGUUAGUAAAGGUAAUGGCACUGGGUUAGGCCACUAACAAAGCUGAAUGGGCCAAAUCCAACUCCAACCCACGCGAUUGGGCUAGGUCUAGUCCACAUAUAUACCAAAAAGAGAAGAAGCUUGUUGGGCUGUUUAUCGGCCCAAAAUCAGGUUAAGCUAGGGCCUCAGGUCUAAUAAGCCCAGCCUAUGUGGUUGGGCCAAACUCAACCCAACCUUAAAUGUGUGUUUAGCAUGCUCUAUUUUUUCCAAAGGAAAAAUGCCUUUUUUUAAAAGACAUGUUUGCCAAACGCAGCCUUAUAUAAAGCAUUUUCAAUGCCUCAGUUUUUAGGAUAAGGACACAUUUAGCAAACACAUCCUUCUACCAUUUCCUAUAGCUUAGCUUUAUCUUUAUCUUGUCCUUAUUAUAGUGUUUAGUCAAACAUGUCCUAAACUAUUUCGGAAAAGUAGGAAAAAAUUCAAAGAUCAUUUUAAAAUUAUUUAUGGAUCCAUUGUGUGUUUUUUCAACAAUUCUAUCUAAUAGCAGGUUAUAGACUUACAUUGUAUGAUACUGACUCGAACUACAAAUACAUUAUUUUUCUCAAAAAAUUCAAAAGAAAAUCCUCCUUUUAAAAAUUUAAAAAUAUAUAUGUUUUGUUCACGUGCAUAUGAUCAAAUUCUAAAAAUAUUUUCACAUAUAUUUUCAAAAAAAUUUGUAUUUUUAUCAUGUUUUAAAAAUACAAGAUAAAUAUUGUAAUUGAUUUAUGAUUAUUCAUUAAGAAUUAGCCAAAAUUUAAAAACUACCACAAAAAUUAAUUUUAUUUAGGAUAUGAAUUUUACAACGUAUUGCAUACUUCCAAUAUUAAAUUAAAUAAGUCAAUAGCAAUAAGCAUUAGAAAUUAGUUGUAGACUUUAUUAUUUAAGGGUAUAAAAUUACAUUGUAAAGUAUAUCCUGUGAUAUUAAAGAUACAAAGUAGAAAAUAAAUGUGAUACUAAAAUUUGGAUUCUAAAUUGGUUAGGAUUUAACCCGAUAGGAUAGAGAUUUUUUCGUGAAAGAAAAUUUACCUCAAACCUUAUAUGAGACCAACAAAUAGCAACAUGGCUUAAAAUAACAAUCAAUCAAUAAUGCAACUUACCAUAGGUAGGGUGUACUGGAUUAAUAUAUCUUUUUCUUAUACAACUAAUCAUCUUAAUCAAACUCCUUCAAAAUCACAAUUUAUGAUAAAAUGCAAAACCCCUUCUAUUCAGAGAAAAACCCGUCAUUUCACACCUUGCAUGCCAUGAAAUUUAUCAUUCUAAUUUCUAAGAGAACAUGGCAUUGGGAUUGUUGCCUACAGUCCCCUAGGACGGGGAUUCCUUUAAUCGGGGCCUAAGCUGGUUAAGAGCUUUUCAGAGGGUGACAUUUGAACGGUCGGUACGCUUCUUUGUGAAAAUUGAGUUUCUGACUAGUACUUGCGCAGUAAAUAACCAGUUAUCGUAGCAUAAAACCUUAUAGUUUAGAAAAGGAAUGUCUCAAGUGCAUAUGGAACGCCUUGCAUAAACUUUACACCUACGAUGAUUACUGUUUUGAUGAGUUUUCUGAAGCUUAGCUGCUGAAAUUUGUGUUGCAUUAAUUGUCUCAGGAUCUGCCUAGGUUCUGUCCAGAAAAUCUGGAGCAUAACAGGCAACUAUUUGAGCGGGUCACUGAAAUUAUAUAGUGAAAUAACACCAGAUGAAAUGGUAGAACUCGAAUCCAUCGCUUCUGCAGGUGUUGUUCAAGGUGACAGGUAUGAGGUUUUCAUGCUUACAUGCAGGAAUUCAGAAACUCCACCUCUUUCAUCAUGGAAAGCCAUAUAAAAGAAUGUUGUCAUGUCUCUUAUCUUGCUGCUACUUGUAAAUUUCAGUUACCUUUCCGAGUGUUCUAAGAUUGUGGGAGUUAAUUUCCACACCAUCUGAAGAGAUAUAUGUUUUUCACCGUAAUUUAAUUUUACCAUUAUUGUGUUUUUGCUCUGCUACAGAAAGAUGGCCUUUCGUAAUUUCUUUGUCCCAUUAGAAUUUUAUAAUUGUUGAGAGUAAGCAGAACUUCUAUACACGGGAGAAAAAUAAGAUUUUGAGUUUGUUUAUGCUUAUGUUAGUUUUGUAUAAAUAUUUUAUAUUUUAUAUUUUUUAAUUUUAAGUGUUUUAAUUAAUUUUAUAUUUGUUACUAAUAACAAACUAUUUUUGUUUUUUUAAAAAACAUUAUCAUGUAAAUACAACUCAUUUACAUAAAAUAUAAAAUAAAAAUAAUUGUAGACAAAUUAUAAUAAUCUCUUUAAAGCAUUAUGAAAUUUAAAAAAAUAUCUUUCGAUUUAUCAAUUCAUAUAUAUUUUUCAAUUUAUUCUAUUAUACAAUAUCUUUUUAUUUUUCAAUUAAGAAAAAUCAUGAUAUAUAAAAACAUGUCCAUAAUGCAAACACUUCCUUCUCUUACAUUAUAAAUUGAAUUGAAAUUCUACAUAAAAUAACAGGGAAAUUAAUACAACACCUAGCACUUAAAAUAGUAAAUUAUAAAAUAAAAUAAAAUAAGAGAUCAAACAUUUAUUAUAGAUGGGACACAAUUCAUCAUGGAUUAGCAUAUGAGUUGUUUUUUUCCUUCUCCACACAAACCAAAAGCUUUUCAAAUAGAUUCAUUGGGCAUUACAAAAUUAGUUGGGGAUAAAUUGGUUAGUACACUUUUUUUGCAUUGUCAAAUUACUUUAUCUUUUUAUUAUUAUUUGCACAAUAAAACUACAGUUAUAUCUUUUAGAGAAAAUAACCAUUGAACUAGGGUUUUUUUUUUAUUUUCAGUUUUUUGAACAAUUAAAAUAAGAGAAAAUAAUCAAAAAAUUAAACAUAUGAUUUCAAGGGUAUUUUUGUUUUUUACUUAUGGUUUUUUUGUUAUUUUUUUGUUUGUCUAAGGGUUUUUUUUAUCAUUUUAAAAGACUAAAUAUUAUUACAACAUAAAAAAGUUGUUGACAUAUUAGUGCGUAAUAGUUCCCGUGAAGGCACAUGUAAGGCCUUCCAAUUAUCAAAUUCCACCAUAUAAGACAGUGUUAGGAGAGGCUCAUCUUCCUCUUUUUAGUAGUGUGGUGCAUGCUUAUGGAGGAGGCACUUUGGCCCCUAGCAAGCUUUUUUUCUCCUUUUUUCUUUUCUUUCUCCUAACCUAAAAAUUUAUGCCAGCCCAUCCAUAAAACAAAUUGGUCCUUCAUUUUGUAUUUCUAUCAAUCUUGGCCCUCAUUCUCUUAAUUACUAUUUGUUUUGCUUUUAAUGUUUUUUUUCAUAUUUUAGUUUUUCAUUUAUAUCAUCCUUGAGAAUUUAUUUCAUUUAAUUUUUUUUUAUCUAAUUUGGCCCUUAAUAAUUUGAUUACUCUUUUUUGGAGUUUUAUCAUUGUCUUGAUUUUUUUAGCUUUUUCAAUUUCAUCCCUAAUCAUUUUAUUGCAUUUAGUUUUUGGUGUUUUAUCAUUUUCUUGAUUUUUUUAGUUUUUUCAAUUUCAUCCCUAAUCAUUUUAUUGCAUUUAUUUUUUUAUCCAAUUUUGGUAAUCUUUUUUAUUGCUAUUUCCUUAUCCUUUUUUAUUUAUCUAUUUUUUUCAAUUAUAUCCCUCAGUAUCUUAUUUUAUUUAGUUUUUUUUUAAUCUAAUUUGGGUCCUCAAUAUUUUUAUUACUAUUUUAUUAUCAUUUUUUUAUUUUUUUAUUUUUCAAUUUAGUCCCUAAUUAUUUUUCUUCAUUUAGUUUUUAUACUAAAUCUGGUCCGCAUUGCUUGGAUUUGAGAUUGUUUUGUAAUUGGAUAUUUUACUCUAUUUUUUUUGUGUGUGUUUGUCUUUCUACAGGGUAAUCUCGGUGUCAGCACCUAAGUCUAAUAUGAUUUCCUUUUUUUAUCCUUUUAUUAUAGAUUGAUUUAUUAUAGAAAAAAAAUAUUUUUUCAAUGUGGAAUUUGAAGCUCUUUAAUAUAUAUACUAUUUAUUCACAAGAAAAAAAUUAUGUUUUUUCAAUGUGGGAUAAAAAAAUAUUUUUUAUUUAGAUACUUCAAAUUAGAAGAAUAACAUACUAACAUAUCUGACGUAGGACCCAAGCGAAACGGUUCCAACCGCAAGACCCAAGAAAAAUGGAUCCGGCCAUAGGACCAAAGCCAACUAGGUCCUAACAAGAACCCAAGGCCAAUUGGUUCAACAACCAGGAGAAUUAUAAUAAAAAUAAUAAUAUUUAUACCACAAAUAAUAAUAUAUUUUCUAUUAAUACUUCGAAUUAUAAUAAAAUAAUAAUUAUAAUACAAAUAAUUAUAUUUAUAAACCCAACAAUAAUUCUAACACAAAUAAUAAUCUUUUUUAGAUGAAUAUUUAGAAUUAUAAUAAAAAUAAUACUACUUAUAACAUAAAUAAUUAUAUUUAGAAACCCAAGAAUAUAUCUAACACAAAUAAUAAUAUUUUUGAGAUGAUAAUUUAAAAUUAUAAUAAAAAUAAUAAUAUUUAUAACACAAAUAAUUAUAUUAAGAAUUUCAAGAAUAUUUAUAAUACAACAAAUAAUAUUUUUUAUAUUAAUACUUUGAAUUAUAAUGAAAAUAAUAAUAUUAUAAAAUAAAUAAUAAUAUAUUUGAUAUGAAUACGUUGAAUUAUAAUAAAAAUAAUUAUAUUUAUAAUACAAAUAAUUAUAUUUACAAACCCGAUAAUAUUUCUAACACAAAUAACAAUAUCUUUGAUAUGAAUAUGUUGAAUUAUAAGAAAAAUAAUAAUAUUAUAACACAAAUAAUAAUAUCUUUGAUAUGAAUACGUUGAAUUAUAAUAAAAAUAAUAAUAUUUAGAACAUAAAUAAUAAUAUUUUUUAUAUGAAUACUUUGAAUUAUAAGAAAAAUAAUUAUAUUUAUAACAUAAAUAAUAAUAUUUUUUUAUAUUAAUACUUAGAAAUACUUUGAAUUAUAAUAGAAAUAAUAAUAUUUAUAACAUAUAUUUAGAAUGAUAAUAAAAAUAAUGAUAUUUAUAACACAACUAGUUAUAUUAAGAAUUCCAAGAAUAUUUAAAACAAAAAUUAUAAUAUUUUUUUAUAUUAAUACUUAGAAUUAUUGAAUUAUAAUAAAAAUAAUAAUAUUUAUAACACAAAUAAUUAUAUUUAGAAACACAACAAUAUUUCUAACACAAAUAAUAAUAUUCUGAGAUGAUAAUUUAGAAUGAUAAUAAAAAUAAUAAUAUUUAUAAUACAAAUAAUUAUACUAAGAAUUUCAAGAAUAUUUAUAACACAAAUUAUAAUAUUUUUUUAUAUUAAUACUUAGAAUUAUUGAAUUAUAAUAAAAAUAAUAAUAUUUAUAAUACAACUCAAAACCCAAGAACUUUGAGUCCUGUGUCAGGAUCCAAGAGAUAUGGAUCUUGCUGUAGUACACAAGAACAUUGGGUCGUGACGCAGGACCCAAGCGAUCUUGCCGAUGUGUCCCCAACGCCCAAGGCUAGGUAGACCAAGCGCCAAGUGGCUGUAGCAAAUUAUAGUGGUUUGUGAGGAAAGCUACAACGUUUUCUCCACAUGAUUUAGCUUUAUUAUACAAAGAUAAUUUUAGAAAAAAUCAUAAUAAAAAAAAUGAAAAAAACAAAACAAGUUUGGAAACACUACAGCAAUCCACAGUGUUUUAAAAAAAAAUUAUAAAGCUAAAUUCUCAACCAACUCAAUAUUAAAAAAAAUAAAAUCAACAAAGACAUAUUUAAAAAAAUCAUAAAAAAACAACAAAAAACACAUAAAAAAAAACAUGUUGAAAACACUAUAGCAAUCCAUAGUGUUUUGUGAGGAAAGCUACAAUGCUUCCCAACAUGAUUUAGCCUUGUAAUUGUAAUUCUCAACAAAAAAAAAAUCGAUAAAGAUAAUAUUGAAAAAAUCAUAAAAAAAAACCAUAUAGGAAAAUAUUGUAGCAAUCCGCUGUGUUUUAAAGAAAAAAAAAUACAAAGCUAAAUUCUAACUAGCUUAAUAUUAAAAAAUAAAAUUGACAAAGAUAAUUUUUUAAAAAAUCAUAACAAAAAAGAAAAAAAAUCAUAUGAAAAAACACUGUAACAAGUCACAAUAUUUUCAAAAAAAAAUUACAAAACUAAAUUCUUAACCAAGUGAAUAUUAAAAAAAUUAAUUGAAAAAUACAAUUUGAAAAAAUCAUAAAAAGAAUAAAAAAAAACCUAUAUGGAAAAACAUUGUAGCAAUCAACAAUGUUUUGUGAGAAAAACUACAAUUAUAAUUCUUAAUUAGCUCAAUAUUAAAAAAAUAAAAUUAAAAAACAAUUUUAAAAAAAAUUAUAACAAAAAAAUUAUGUAAAGAAACAUUAUUGCAAUUUCACAAUAAUUUUUUUAAAAAAAUUAUAAAAUUAAAUUUUUAACUAGUUCAAUAAAAAACAAAUUACAGCAAUACACAGGAUAACAUAACAUGUUGCAGUAAUAAGAUACCAAGAAAUUCAAAUUCAUUUCAUUAUUUAUAUGUUGAUCAAUCAAUGAAUCUUAAGUGGCGGCUCACACUAAUCUAUUCAAGCCAACGGCUGUCCAUAUAAUGGAGCGUAAGCUCAAACAUACAUGUUGCUUAUAUUGUAAUGAGAUACCAAGAAAUUCAAAUUCAUUUCAUUAUUUAUAUGUUGAACAACCAAUGAAUCUUAAGUGGCAGCUCACAUUUAUCUAUUCAAGCCAACGGCUAUCCAUGUAAUGGAGCGUAAGCUCAAACAUCAUGUUAGUUACGUAGAUGCUUACGUUAGAAAAUAAAGUCUCUUCAUUCACUUCCUCUAUUUAUGGCAGUUUCGUUUUAUUUGCUAGGCUGAGCCGAGAACUCGUACACGCACUGAGUUCGUCAUUCUUGAGAAGCAAAUUAAACAAGAACAAGAGAGAUGGCAACAGUGAAAAGGAUCAAGCUGGGGUCACAGGGACUUGAAGUAUCAGCACAGGGACUUGGAUGCAUGGGCAUGUCUGCCUUCUACGGUCCUCCAAAGCCUGAAUCGGACAUGAUAGCCCUCAUCCACCAUGCCGUCAACACUGGGGUCACUUUACUCGACACCUCCGAUGUCUAUGGACCCCACACCAACGAAAUCCUUCUGGGCAAGGCCUUGAAGGCGGGAGGAUUACGACAGAGAGUUGAAUUGGCCACCAAAUUUGGCAUCAGCUUUAAGGAUGGCAAUUUUGAGGUUCGAGGGGAUCCUGCUUAUGUGAGAGCUGCUUGCGAGGCCAGCUUGAAACGCCUUCAACUUGAAUCCAUCGAUCUUUAUUACCAACAUCGCAUUGAUACCAGCGUUCCUGUUGAAGCUACGGUAUUUCUCUUUAAUUGUUUUUAUUUCUGGAUAUUGUUCUGAUUAAUCUUGAUCGUUCGAUGGCGAUGAUGAUAGUUAGAGAAUUUUCUUUUACUUGAUGAUGUAUUUUCCAGAAUCUGUAACAGGCAUAUCCAAAAAUCCCUAAAACUUCAGCCUAAACCCACUAAAAUUAUAGAUUAGACACGGUACUGAUGAUACCGUCAUGCUUAUUAUGUGCAUUGACAUCUUGCAAUGGUAUCUUUCGUAGUUGGAUGCCGACAAUGCUAAUAGUGGGUUCUGUCCCUGCAUUCUAGCUGAAAAAUUUAUUGCAGUUGUGUACUCAUAAUUCUUUUCUUUGCUAGAUGGGGGAACUCAAGAAACUAGUUGAAGAAGGUAAAAUAAAGUAUAUAGGUCUGUCUGAGGCCUCUGCUUCAACAAUCAGAAGAGCUCACGCUGUUCAUCCGAUCACAGCCGUGCAGUUGGAGUGGUCACUGUGGUCAAGAGAUGUGGAGGAAGAGAUUGUUCCUACCUGCAGGUGAGGCAUUGAUGAGAAAAACUAAUUUCCUUUGGAGAUCAAAAUAACCCAAACCUUAGGCUGUUUAUGGGAUGCCUUAGAUAUCCAGAUUCUGAUCUUAUCAUUCUAAUGGUUCAGAGAACUUGGCAUUGGGAUUGUUGCUUACAGUCCUCUGGGACGGGGAUUCUUUUCCUCAGGGCCUAAGUUUGCUGAGAGCCUUUCAGAUGAUGACUUCAGAAAGGUAGGAUCUUUUCUUUUUGAACAUAGAGUUUGUGAUCUGUGUAUUACAUGUCCAGUAAAUAACCAAUUGUACAAGCAUAAUCUUUUACAGUUUGGAAAGGAAGGAAUGUCACAAAUCACAUUUCCUCCUUUGACUGUUAUAUGCGGUACAGAAUAAUAUAAAACCGUUCUUAAAAUCUCACCUAAUAACUUAAACUUUUAAGUAACGAGUUUUUGACAAUAUAUUGGUUAGCUUAGAUGCCUCAAAAAAUAGUCUCUCCUAUCUUAUGGAGUGGUUUGGUGGUCUAAACUCCAUUGAAGAAACUUGCACAAAGUAAAAGUUUAGCUUUGAGAUCAUUGUAUAUAUUUUACCUAGCAGUUCUUUCACAUUUGCAUUAUUCCUACAAAUAUGCUAUACACUUGGAUUGCUUAAAGAUUCAAUCAAAUAAAACACAGAUUUACAGGAUCUCCUUGUAUUAGACAGGUGGCUUUAGUAUGUCCUAUGUCCAAACAAAGAAUUCUGCAUGCUUAAUGUUUUGCUUAAAUCUCUCUCUAAUAUUCAAUCUUCAUUACUUUUGAAUUCGUAAAAUCUGCUCACUCGCCUUUGUACUUGGAAAUUUGGCAUGCUUGCACCCAUAAAAAACUGCGUUGUAUACAAUAUCAUGAUGGUUUGCGUUUAGUACUAGGAAGUUUUGUUAUGGCAAGAAGGACAUGUUGCAUAAACUAGAAUCUAUGAUGCUUUCUUCUUGAUGAGUUGUGUCAGGCUUAGCUGCUGAAAUUAACUAGUGUUUCAAUUGUCUCAGGAUUUGCCUAGGUUCCGACCUGAAAAUCUUGAACACAAUACACAACUAUUUGAGCGGGUUAAUGAAAUGGCAGCAAGGAAACAGUGCACUUCAUCGCAGCUGGCGUUGGCCUGGGUACACCACCAGGGUGAUGAUGUAUGUCCUAUUCCUGGAACCACCAAGAUCGAAAACUUCAACCAGAAUGUUGGAGCUCUGUCUGUCAACCUAACGCCAGAAGAAAUGGCUGAACUCGAAUCAAUAGCUUCUUCAGAUGCUGUAAGGGGAGAUCGGUAUGGCGAUGGCCUGUCUACAUUCAAGGAUUCAGAUACUCCGCCUCUUUCAUCAUGGAAAGCUGUAUAGAAGGCAUGCUGCCAUGCCGUGCUGUCUUGCUUCUACUCGUGGAUUUCAGCUCCCUUUGAAGUUUUCGAAAAUUGUGAGUUUGUACACCAUCUGAACUUCUGAAGAUAAUAAAUGUUUUUGUAAUCUAAAAUUAUUUCAACUUUCUUUUAGCUUCGCUUUAAAAAGAUGGUGUUCCUUAGUUUGUCCUUCUAGAAAUUUCUAAUUGUUGAGAGUGACUAGAACCUCUAUGUUAUGCUUAUACCUGUCAUACUCGAUUUAAGGACUUGCUUAGAAAAUAGUUGUUGAAUUAUUAUUUUUAUUAAAGUCAUAUCAUUUAUUUAUUUUUUUAUUGAAUCGGCAGGCUAGGUUUGAAUUAGAUCUGGCGAGAUUAAGUGGAUCAUUAAAAAUCAAGUUAGGUUUUAACAAUUAUAUUUAAUUAAGUAUAAGCUGAGUUAUAAGAAAUAUUUAGAAUUAAUAUGUAGUUGAUAUAUAUAUUAACCUGACCUGCAUGAGGAUUUCAUAUGAAGAGAUCAUAUAUAUUUAUGGAAAGGUUCACAUAACGGUUGUGUAAGUGAUCCUUAAACUUAAAACACUUAAUUAUCUUAUAUAUAAAAAAAUGUUAUCUUAAUCAAGGUGAUGAAAUGACAGACAUUGGUUAUAACAUGAACUAUAUGAAGAUAUUUGAGUGAUCAAGAGAUAAUUCAUUACCCUUGAAGAAUUAGGAAAAAUAUUUUAUCUAUUCUCAAAUAGUAUUGACCAAGAAAUCAUUGGGUAAGGUGGAAUGAGAUUUGAAACGGGUUAGAAAUUAAGAACAUAACGGAUCACACAUGGUAAGAACUAUUAAUUAGAAAUUAAACCGGAAUAAUUAAUCAAGUAUAACUUGAUUGAAAAUAAUUUUUGAAAUUAAGUAUUGAAAUGUAUUUAAUUCAGGAAUUAUAAGUCGAGUCCUCGAAUAAUCAAGUAGAGACUUGAUUGAUUAAAUUUUUAAAAUUAUUUUUAAAUAAUAUAUGGAUAUUAUUUAAGAGGCAAAUUAAUACUUACCAAUUUAUAAGGUUUUUCAUUUUUUUUUUUAUAAAUAGUAUAUUGUGCCUCUGAUUAUUUUUAAGGAGUUGUAGUCUAUUAGACAUAAAAACUAUGUAAAUCACAGAAUAGAGAGCUAGCACUCUAGGCAUAGCAAUCUUUUUAUCCUAAGUAGGGAUUUAAAAGAUUUUUCAUGUGGUUUGUGUAGAUUAUCAUUAGAGAUCAGAUAAUUAGACGACUUGUGGUUUGUGAAAAUCUCUUUUAAAGAAUUAUUGAAAGUCGAAGAAGAUCAAAUUUUCAGGUAAUAAAUCCUUAAACAACUCUAGAUAUAUCUAAAAUAAUUCUAGGACUCCUAAGUAAUUUUGUUUUAUUAUUUCAGCUACUUGUAUAAUAUUUAGGAACCCAACAUUACUUUCAUAUGUAAAGCAAGAUUUAUUUAUUAUUGGUACAUGUGGUUUGUAUGGGUGAAUGCAUACAAACCACAUGUACUUUAUUGGUUUAUAUUAUUGGUCACCUUCACUAUUGGUUUUUGCACGAGUGAAUGCAAGUUUGGACAUGUAUCUUUUAACUUCCAAUAUGAUAUCCAUAUCACAUAAGGAUAAGAACAAACCUCUUCUUGUAUUUUCAACCGAGAAAAAAUGUUUUUAGAAAAAAGUAAUUAUGAUUAAAUUGAAAAAUAUAUUUGAUAUUAUCUUUCUAUAAUUAAAAAUUAUCAUUGACAUUAUAAGGAUUGGUUUGGAUUGUGAUAAAAUUUCUAGAUAUGCCAACACUUAAUAUCUUUAUAUAUAUAUAUUCUAUAGGUUUACCAUUAUGAUUUGUUUAAUGACUAAAGAGAAAAUGAAACUAAAAAAUAAUAAAAAUGCCACCAAGUAACAAUUAGAAAUUUUUUAAAAAUAUUUCGGUUAUUGAUGAACUUAAAUUAAACAAAAUUAAUUGAUCUGGAUAUGAAUUUCAUUCACUAGACGAAAGAAAAAUAUAAUUGAGAGAGAAGGGGAGUGAUUUGGUUUGAGAGAAAAGGUAUCAGAUCUACUCAUAUGUAGUUUGGUUAGUUUUCAUUUUAAUAUAUAUAUAUGUUCAUUUUUAAUAUAUAUAAAGACAAUAUGAUCAUUUGAUCAAAUUUCUGAAUUACAAUUUGUGCCAAACAUUAGGAUGCUAAGUGUGAUUUUUCAUUUAUAAUUUAAUUAUUUUUUUACUUUGUCUCUAUUCUUUUAAAAAUUACAGUUUACAUCCAGAGUCAAUAAUUUUUAAAGUUGUAAAAUACUUUAUUUCUUCGUUAACAAAUUUACAAAACAUUAGGAUGUUAAGUGUGAUUUUUCAUUUAUAAUUUAAUUAUUUUUUUACUUUGUCUCUAUUCUUUUAAAAAUUAAAAUUUACAUCCAGAGUCAAUAAUUUUUAAAGUUGAAAAAUACUUUAUAUCUUCGUUAAACAAAUUUAACAAAAUAAUUUAAAUUAUUUACGAGAUUGUCAUUCGAUUCUAAUUAAUGACUAAAAAGCCCUCAAGUCUUAAAAUAUUAAAUUAAAAAUUACCCUUAGCAUCCUAUAGUUUGGUCAAAAUUCCACUUGCUUACCAAGUUUUGAAAAAUUACAGUUUCCAUCACAUGUCAAAGAAAAUUCUAAAUUCAACAGAAAUAACAAAAUACCCCCAUUUAUAUUAUAUUAAAAAUCAACUCAAAUGAUAGAUAACUUCUUCUUUCUCAUCAAUAAACUAAAAAACUUCUCAUUGAAAAAUCGAUUUCUCUCUCCUUCUAAACCCAAAUCGAACAAAAAAAACCAGUGAUUGUAAUUGAUUUCUCUCAUAUGAUUUCAUGGUUUACCAUGGUUAUCUCUUCUUGUUGCUAGAUUCUCAUAUUCAUUUCAUCCACAUCCAUUGCUGCAAAACCUAUUUUUGGAGAAUGAGAAGCUGGGUUUUUAUUGAAUUAGGGUUCUUUAGUCUUUGGAUUCUUCUUGGAGGCUAGAUUUAAUUUACUAAGUAAAAACAUAAAAGAGGAUAAAGAACAAAAUUAUUUUCUUUAUGGGGUUGGAUUCAUUUUCAAUCAAAUCAAGUUUUGGGUUUUGGUUAUCAGGAUGAACAAAAAAACCCUUUAAGGGAACUUGAAAUUUCCAACUCUAGUUAAAUGAGUACUAAAAUGGGGUCUUGGAAAUUACAAAAAUUCAAUGUUUUAGUGGGUUUUGAUUAGUGGUGUUGAAGGAGACAUCGAGGCAAGCUACAUGUUAAAAGGGUAAAAAAAUAUGAAAAGGGAUCACCACCUAGUUUUAUAGUAACUAGAAAUCCUAAUUAGUCUUAAAGGUUCUAGGUGAGGCUUUGCCAUUACCUUAUCCAUCAUAUUUAAGGUAAGCUACAUUGUUGUUUAUUUUCAAUGAUAAAAUGUGUUUAAUGUUCUUACAUGCUAAAGUUUGUCUAUUCUAAAUACACAAAUAAAAUAAAUAAAUAAAAGAACAUGUCAUUUUUUUUAUUUGUAGAUUUUUAUGUUUUUUUUAGCUUUUUAUGUGGAAACACUUUCAAAAAAUUCAUCAUGAAAAAAAUUAAACAUAAUUAAAAUCAAGCAUGCACAUACAAAUUUCACAAAAAAAAAAAUGUCAGCACUUAAUAAAAUUCACAAUUUAAAAAUAACAUCACCAAAAAUCAUAAUUUAACAAAUAGAUUAGUGCACAUUAAAACUCAUAAAAAGUCAAACUUAUAUUAAAAUCCACAUCGAGACCAAAUUAUUAUGCAUCAGAUAAAGCUUUUGCAAUCCAAUCCUUCCAACUUCAUUGCGAGGUAUUAAUUUUCAACCUUAUUUCACCAUAAAAAUAAAUUAUAUGAUGACAUCAUACCAUCAGGUUUGUCAUGGAACAGGCACAAACCCGCAAACUUUAAAUAUUAUUUAUUAUUUUUUAAACUUGCAAACAUAAAAAUAAUAUGCAAAAAGGUUGAAAAUUAUGAAAUAGUUGUUCAUUGAUCUAAUCGCGUUGAAAACGUGUUUUUUGAGAAUUUUGUAUUUAUUUUUUAUUUUUUGAAAAAUGAUGAAAACUAGGGUUCAAAAAUUGGGUGAUGACAAAUUGGUUUGAAAGAGAGAGAGAGAAAACCCAUUUAAGGCUAGUUAUUGAUCAAUGGAAAAAAGCAAUGGAUUCCAUAUUGGACCUUAGCCUAAUGAAUUGCAUCUCAACCCUAAGAAAGAGAAUAAAUGUUUGUGUAAUCUAAUAAUAUAGUAUAUGAUAUAUGAAAGGCUUGUAUAAAUAUAUUUAGGAAAUUUUUAGUAUUCUUGUGUUGUAAUCUCCACAUUAACUAUUGUACAUUGCCCUACAUAUAUAAAUAAAAAAAGUUAUCUAACUAAUAGGUUAAACCUCAUAUUAUUCUCAAGUUGAUAUUAGAGAUCACUUUAAAACUUUAUUUCCUUCUUUUAAAUGGACUUUUCAUCUCAACCUAUGGUGCAUAAUUUUUCUUCUCCCUUUGCUUAGAAAGCUUCUCCUGCUGUUGUCGUGAAUCCUUAGUCUUUUUCCUCUCCCUCUACUUAGGAAUAUUCUCUUGUUGCUGUUGACGUGCAACCUUCCCCUGUUGCUGCUAUCGUGAACCUUGCCACCAUAGAGCCUUCAAUUGCAAGCAUUAUUUCCCUUUCACUAUCAAAAAAUUGGCAAAUACAAACGGCAAAGCUGACAAAAUGUUUUUGUUGGUAAAUUGCAUUGAAUUCUACCAAUGAAAUAUUCCCUCGUUAUAUCCAUCGAAAAACACCGACAUAAAUAUUCUUUUGAUAUAUACUGAGGAAAUUACACUGGGGAAAAAAAGGAUUAAAAAAAUUUUAAAAGUACAAUGACGUGUUAUUUAUAAUGACAAUAUUAAUACCAUUGGUAAAAUCAGUCUGUAUACCUGUUGGUAAAAUGUUCCUAAGAGCCCUAAAAUUGUUCCCUUCUCAUUGACACUAUUCAUUGUGUUAAUUAAAUACAGAAUCAACAACGAAUUAAUUAUGUUGGUAUUUUCCAUAGAGUUAUAGAAUUGUUUAUUUUUAAUUGCAUUGUUAAUUAUUGUUCUUUAUAGAUGGGAUCAUAGACAUAUUAAAAAGUCGUCAGUGAUAUUUGGAGGGUUCUGAUUUUUUUUAUAUCAAAUUAAAAAAUUUGAAUUAAAUAUUACAGAUGGAAUCACUGAUGGAUUGAAGCGUUGCCAGUGACAUUUAGAGGGUUUCUUAAAACAUUUUAUUAAAUUGAAAAUGUGAAUUAAAAAGUACAAACAUAAUCACCAAUGGAUUGAAAAGUUGUCGAUGAUUUUUUUAGGGUUUUUGAAAAAAUUUUAUUAAAUUGAAGAUUUAAAUUAAAUAUUAUAGAUGAAAUCACUAAUAAAAUGAUUAAAGAUAUUAAUAUUUAAUUAUAACGGUAAAAUCAUUGGUAAAAUGCCCCAGUAAAAACACCAUAAUCCCUCAUUUCAUAAUAAACAUGCCUCUUCUUCAUCUUCAUCUUCUUUUUCUUAUUCUUUUUCUUCUCCUUCUUUUAUAUAAAAAACACCAACGUCCCUUUCUUUCUUUCUCUUCUAUUUUCAACUCCUUUUCUUUUCUCUUCUCCUCCAAGUGCAGGCAUGUCUUCUUUUCUUCUCUUUCUUCUUUUCUCUUGUCAGUUUUUUUUAAUUAACAUACUUUAUGAAAAAAAAUUUAUUUUCUCUUCUUAGCCUCAUUCGCAAUUAAAUUAAGGUAAGAAUUUUCUUUUUUUUUCCUUUUCUUUUUUGUGUUUUUUUACAUUGUAUUUGUUUUUAAAAAAAAAAAAUUAUAUUCUUAAUAAUUAUAUGAAUGUUGUUGUAGGAUUUGUUUUCAUAUAAGAACAAUUUUAUUAGAUUUUAGUUGGAUUAUGGUUUUCAAAUUUGUUCAAUUUCUAUUAAAUUACUUUAUUUGUUAUUGGAUUAUGGUUUCUGAAGUAGGUUUUCUAGAUUAGGUGGAUUUUUUUAAUUAAUUUUUUUUGUUGUUGUUGUUUAUUUUUUUAUGUUAUUUAUUUGUUGCAAAUUUGUUCGAGUUGAUUUUCUUCUUCUUCUUUUUUCCUUGCAACUUAGUUCCUAAGUAUUAUCGAGUGUUGAUUUAUAUUAAUUUAAUUUAUUUUAAUUAUUCUUUGCUUCUAUUAAAUAGAUUUUUAAAAAAAUAUUUUUAAAUAUUUUGCAGGUAGAAUAGUCUUAGGUAGCUUUUCUAGGAGAGAAUCUACAACUGGUUUUGAUGUUAUUAGAGGUAGAAUUUUGACUUUGAGUGAAUCAAAACUUCCAAGGUAUGAGAUGGAAUAAUAUUUCAUGGUAUGGACAAAAGCUUGUCCUACUUGCAAUUGAUAAAGAAAGAAUAGAAGGCAAUUUUUACAGGCAAAACAAUGUUGGAUAGUGUUUCUGUAAUGAAUAUGCAAGUGUUUUUGGUGUCAUUGGACCUGGAAUUUUGGCUUAGAGUAAAGUACAAAUAUUAAGGUAUAAGUUGGUAUAGGAUUUGUAUGGUAUGGUGAAAGGUGAGGGAGAGAUUAGGAUUGAAAGGUGGGCACUUGGCAUCUUUUUUCUCUUGUUUAAAUGGGUAAAAGAUGAUGAAUAGUGAAAUAAUGUAUUUUUAAAUUUGGUCCCUAAGCCUUUGGAAUUUUGUAAUUAAACCCCCAAUGAGCCCUAAUUUUUUGAUUUCUUGCAAUUUUACCCUUGGCCUUCAUCAAUUGGACCCUCAAAUUUUUACGCUUUUUAUAAAGUGGUCCUUGGCUUUUAAAAUUCUUCAAUUUGACCUCCCAACUUUAAUUUUCUUGCAAUUUUGUUCCUAAUUUUGGACGAUUGAGCGAGUAAAAAUUAAAUUUCAUCCUCUUAAAUUUCACUCUUAUUAAUUAAGCCUAGAUUAGGCUUCCAAAGUUAACGUUUGUCAAAAUAAGUCCCUAGUAAAAUUAAUUUAACCCAUUAAGAGUCUAAUUAAGUAUUUGCACUUGAUUAAUUCUUUUAAUUUGAUCAAAAUUAAUUCUUAAACUUAAUUAAUAAUUUAAUUGGGCAUAUGAUUAAAUCAAAUUAGCCUAUUAAAAGUCUAAUUAAAUUCUUAGACUUAAUUUUUAUGCUAAUUCAUCUAAUAAUCAUUUAGUCUGACCUUGAAUUUGCAUUCUCAUCUAGUAUUGGGUAUAAUUAGGUACAAUUACGCUUUUAAUUUUGUCUAAAACUUCAGCUUGGUUCCUUCAUGCAUUUGAAACCCUUUUCAGCCUGCUUUUGCCAAGUUGCUAAUCUUUUUCAUUUUUUAUUUUUAAUUUUUUAGUUGCUUUUUAUUUUAAAAUAAAAUGGUAAUUGGGGGGGGGGAAUCCAAAUUUAGGUUAUGACAAAGGGAAGUGAAUUAUUGAUUAUUUUACAGAUUAUGUUGUGGAAGACUAUGAGUCACUAGAUUUUGAAUUUUAUGAUGAACAUGUAUUAGCAAUUGAGGAUGACGAUGAGUUGAACAAUUGGUGAACCAUGUAUUCUGAUGGAGUAAUGAAUAUAUUAGAGAAACGGGCUAAAAUAGUGAUAAUUUCUUCAUAAAAGAAGUUGUACCAUGUUUUGAUGAGGUUGUAGUUUGAAUACACCAAUAACAUGGAUGAAUAUAAAACUUGCAUCAUCAGUCUAAAAGCUACUUUAGAGCUAAAAGUUGGAAAACUCGAUAUUCAUAAAGAUUCAUUACUAAUUAUCUACCAAGUGAAGGGGAAAUGGCAAACUAAAAAUGAAACUAAGGUCAUACCAAGAUUAUCUUUUGACGUUGGCUAAUAAGUUUGAUGAGAUAAAAUUCACUCAUAUGAGCAAAUAUAAGAAUCAGUUUGUCGAUGCCUUGGCCACCUUAACUUUGAUGACAUAUAUUAAUAUUGGGGGGAAGAUUCAACCAAUAAACAUCGAAGUCAAAAAUUUUGAAGCUUAUUAUUGCUCAUUUAAAGAGACAACAAAUGAAAAACCAUUGUACAAUGAUAUCAUGAGGUUAUUCAGCAUCAAGAAUAUCCUUUAGGAGCCUCUAAGACGAAUGAAAAGACUUUAAGAAGGAUGACCAUGGAUUAUAACUUGGAUUGUGAAAUCUAAUAUAGAAAGUCAUUCGACGAGACUUUACUUAGGUGUUUGAAUGAGAAAUAGGUUGAGUAAGCUUUACAAGAGGUCCGUGAGGGAAUUUGUGCCACUCAUUUUAAUAGGCAUACAAUGAUAAGACAAAUGCAAUGAUUUAGAUACUUUUGAUUAACUAUGAAAAGGGAUUGUGUUAACUAUAUUGGGAAAUUUCAUAAGUGUAAAAUAUAUAGGGAUAAGAUAAAUGCACCUUCGACACCCCUAUUCAAUAUAACCUCAGGCAACACAUUUCAGCCAUUGUUCGAAGUGAUGGCAUGCUAACUUCAUCGGCUGAAGAGGUUGGUCGAGUGUUUGCCACUUACUAUAAAGAACUCCUUGGGACUUCAAAGCAUACUAUUCCCCCGCGUGUUGAUAUAGUUCAAAACGGCACUUGCAUUAAUUCUGAUUCCCAUGAUUUCCUCCUUGCCCCAGUUUUGGUUGAUGACAUCAAACGGGUCCUCUUCAGUAUGGAUGAUAAUAAAGCACCGGGGCCAGAUGGUUACACCUCUGCUUUCUUUAAAAAGGCUUGGAGCAUAGUUGGUGAAGACUUUUGUUCAGCUAUAAAAGAUUUCUUUGCUUCCGGUGAGAUGCUCAAGCAGAUUAAUCACUCUACCAUAGCCCUUGUUCCUAAGUCAAUCAAUGCCAACUCUGCUGCAGAUUACAGACCUAUCUCUUGCUGCAACGUCACUUACAAAGUUAUUUCCAAGCUUCUUGCAGAGAGGCUAGCUCAUGUAUUAAACGAUAUCAUCAGCCCUUCCCAAAAUGCUUUUCUUGGUGGGAGAUUAAUGGCUGACAAUAUUAAUCUCAUGCAAGAGCUGCUGAGGAGUUAUGGAAGGAAACGUGUAUCGCCCCGCUGCACCAUCAAGAUUGACUUCAGGAAAGCUUUUGAUACAGUUCAAUGGUCAUUUCUUCGCGAUCUCCUCCACCUUUUGGGGUUCCCUGCUAGGUUCGUUCAUCUGGUUAUGAAAUGUGUGGAGACUGCCUCUUUCUCUGUUUGCGUCAAUGGCAAUCUAUUUGGGUUCUUCCAAGGCAAGUGUGGUGUUCGGCAAGGAGAUCCAUUGUCUCCCUAUCUCUUCAUUAUCUGCAUGGAGUACCUCUCUAGACUUCUAAACAGCAACACCCAGCUUUCGGGUUUCAAAUUCCAUCCCAAAUGUCAAGCUUUGGGAAUCAGUCAUUUGGUUUUGCUGAUGACAUUCUCCUUCUUUGCCGUUGUGACAUGACCUCUGUUAACAUCCUCCUCCAGCAGCUUACAAUUUUUGGGAGUCUUCUGGCCUUGUAAUUAAUGCAUCCAAUCCUCUAUCUUCUUUGCUGGUGUAUCGGAGGAUAUGAAGCAGGCCAUUCUUAGCCUCUCCCAGUUCACUGAAGGAAGCUUUCCCUUUAAGUACCUUGGUGUCCCUCUCAGCCCCCACAGGCUUCUUGCCAGCCAAUUCUCCUUAAUCCACAGGUUAGAAUCUAUUCAAAAUUGGAUGGGAAAGUACCUCUCUUAUGCAGGUCGGCUGGAGUUAAUUAAGUCUGUCCUGCAUGGCAUGGUGCAGUUUUGGAUUAGUAUCUUCCCUAUCCCAACUGUUGUUAUCAGCAAGAUUACUAGUUUGUGCAGGAACUUUUUAUGGAGUGGCACUAUGAUUAGAAGUAAAUCGGCUCUUGUAGCUUGGAAACAGGUGUGUCUGCCAAAAGAUGAAGGGGGUUUGGGGAUUCAUGAUAUCAAAGCUAGAAAUGACAGUUUCUUUGCAAAGCAUCUUUGGAAUAUUCACUUGAAGGCGGAUUCCCUAUGGAUUAGAUGGGUAUGCCAUUACUACAUAGCCCACACCUCUAUUUGGUCCUUGGAUGCCAAGAAAACUGACUCUCCUCUGUUUAAGUCAAUCUUCUACCUUCGUAACAGAAUGCUAAGCCUUUGUGAAGGGGUAGCUCAAUUGCAACAACUGCUCUCAAGCUGGUACUCUGAUCAAUGUUCUUUUAUAGCCAAUGCAUAUGAAUUUUUCAGACAUAAAGUUGAGCCUGUCCACUGGGCAAAUGUAGUUUAGGAGCAGUGGUCCCUUCCAAGACAUAGUUUCUCCCUUUGGUUGGCAAUGAUGGGCAAGCUGCGAACAAGAGAUCGUCUUCGAUUUCUCUCCCCUGAUCCUAUAUGCCCUCUAUGUCAGAAUGCUGAUGAGUCUCAUGCUCACCUCUUCUUCAAUUGUGACUGGUCGUCUUCUCUUUGGAGAAAGACCAGACUCUGGCUCAAGAUUCAUCACAUUAUGCCUUCCUUAAGUAGAGCUACCCAGGUUUUACAACACACCAAAAAAGGGCUACAACAAAAAAUAAGAAGAGUAUCUCUUGUUGUUCUUGUGUAUUUGAUCUGGGAGGAAAGAAACAGGAGAAUUUUUGACAACACUAGCAAAUCAGUUGAGGCUGUUUUCAGAAAAUUUCAGAUUCUAUUUUACACUAUAUUGUAUUUUCAUGAAAAAAAUCCCUUGGCUUACAAUGUUGCAUUCUGAUUGGAUUGGUUGGGGUAGUUUACUGUGAAUGCAUGUUCAUCUUGCCCCUGCAUGGUCUAUCCUCUGUUGGCUUCGCGUAGUGAGCUGGUCCUUAUUUCAUAGGGGGGUUUUUGAUGGGCCCUUGGGGCUGAGUUCUUUGCUGCUGUGGUUUGUUGAAUUAUGAUGGCUACAUGUUGUUGUCUUGGUUCGGCAUGGGAGAGGAGCUGCUGAAUGUUUUUGUUGGUUUUCGGCUGCUUGUUUAUGGGUCUGCUGGCAGUAGAUUGACUUGUCUGGCAGUGCAUUGGUUUGGCUGGUUAAGUCCCUCAUUUUUGUUCUAUGUGUGGCUACUUCAAGCCUUAAGGAUUUUUGUUUUAUGUUUCUUUUCCAUGGGAGCAUGUUCCCAUUUUAGUUUUAGGGUACUGGUUACCCUCAUCUCUGUAUAUACAUUUUCAGUUUGCUACUUUUGUGGCUUUGUUACCUUUGAUCUUAAUAUAUUCUUACAUUUGAUCAAAAAAAAAAUAGGGAUUAGAUGUCAUAGGACCAAUCAAUAUAAAUGCCAUCAAUGGGCAUAGAUUUAUCUUGGUGGCCAUCACCUACUUCAUUAAAUGAGCAGAAACUAACUCUUAUGAACAUGUGACAUAAAAAAUGGUCAAGAGAUUCAUCAAGAAAGAUUUGAUUUGUCAGGAUGGCUUGCUAGCAAAAUUGUUAACUGAUAAUGCUCAAAAUUUUAAUGAGAAGAUGAUUGUUAAACUCUACACCAAGUGUAAGAUUAAGCACUUUAAUUCUUAUCCUUACAUACCCAAGAUGAAUGGUGAUGCUGAGGCAACCAACAAAAAUCUUAAAAAUAUCAUCUAGAAAAUGAUAGUCACCUACAAAAACUAGGACAAGAUGCUUCCAUAUGUACUUUACGCAUUUUAUACCACAAUUAGAACUUCUACAGGUGCAACCCUUAACUUUUUGGUAUAUGGGAUGAAGAAAUGAUACCUUUAAAAGUGGAAAUUGUAACAUUAAGGGUUCUAAAUGAUGCAGAACUAGAAGAAUCAUAAUAUGCAGACCUAAAAUUUGAGUAGUGGAGUCUGAUCAACGAGAAAAUAUUGGUAAUAAUUUGUCAUCAUUAACUAUACCAGAGUAGAAUGGUUAAGGCAUACAACAAGAGAGUCAGAACAAGGGUAUUCAAAGAAGAAGACCAGGUAUUGAAAAAGAUCUUGCCAACAUCAGGAUAAGAUUAGAGCACAUGGGCAUUGAAAUAUGAAGGACUAUAUGUGGUGAAUAAAGUCUUUCCUAGAAAAGCCUUAGUUUUGACCAAGAUGGACGGAGAUGAUUUACCUAACCUUUCAAACUCUAACAUUAUAAAGAAGUAUUAUGCAUGAUGUACUUUGUCGAUAUAUCAAUAAAGAUCAAAGUUUGGCGAGGAAUGUUUUGGUGCAUUUUAUUUUUGUAAACUUUAAAAAGCUUUACAUGAUCUUAUAGGCUCAAAAAACCUUAUUUUUGUGUUUUUAUAAAAAUAUUUUUUGGAAAAUUAAAGUUAUUAGUACAAUACAGAGGUAAAAUUAGUGUUUGUUUUUUACAAGUGAGUUUUGCGAGUUCAAGUGAUCUCCUAAUGAGGUAACCAAACCAUUUAAAUGACUUUGAAGCUGAGUUUUAGUUGGCUGAAUAACAAUCAUAAUUUAAUUAUGAUGAAGACAAUUUUGCAUUACCAAACAAUCAUAAUGAAAGAAAACAAAGCUUACUAAUCCUAAACUCAUAUGUUUGAAAUAAGAGAAUGUCAUCUUUGAUAAUCGUGACAAUACUUUAAAAAAAUAUCAUUUGCAACUCCUUAUUGAGCUUAGUAAGUCUUUCUUGCAAAACAAUCAUGACUAGGAUCAUACCCCAUAUUGAGGGAACGUACCAAGAUUAGAAAAAGCAAUUUGACCGCAAGAAUAUACAAAAUAAUCCUCAAUUAUCAAAGGUGCCCAAACAAAGCAACAACAUGAAGAAAUUCAAAGAUUCAAAAAGGUUAAGCAUCCAAUGCAAAAUGGAAAUAAUUAGUAUGAUGAUGACGCUCAAAGUUAAAUAGUCCAAACAUUGGGGGCAUGUAUUUUGCAAAGUUAACCCUAAGAUCUAGGAAUCAUUUGACCAAAAAGAAGGUUUGGGAACAAGAUUUAGUGAUCAUUGGUCUUAAGAUCUCUUAAACACCUUUUGAGCCUACAAAUAUCCUUUUCUUUCAUGACCAAAAGCCAAAUCCUACAUUGCGUGCCCAAUAAGCUCUUCUUAAUCAAAGGCAAGCAAUCUGGAUUGGUAAGCGAUGCUUUCCCAUAUGAAAUGAGCUUUUCAAGAAACUUUGAUUAUGCUUUAUUAUUCAUACAAGUAAAAUGAACGCUUCAAUACCAUAGAGAAAUUCAACCUUCAAGAAACCUUAUUUAUGGGAAUCACCCGAGUUCUUUUUAAAACAAGUUUGUUUUAAACUAGCAUCAAAAUGGUUUUUGUUCAUAGGAAUUGCUUGAGUUCUUUGUCCUUUUAAAACAUAGAGUACAUCUUUUUGUGCAUGCAAAAUGUGAAAUAAUUCACGUUAUGUUGUUUGGAUUUGCUAAUGAAGGUAAUGUCACCAGGUUGGGCCACUAACAAAGCUGAAUGGGCCAAAUCCAAGCCCAACCCGCGCGACUAGGCCGGGUCCAAUCCACAUAUAUACAAAAAAGAGAAGAAGCUUGUUGGGCCAUCUGUCGGCCCAAAAACGGAUUAAGCUUGGGCCUUGGGUCCAAUAAGCCUAGCUCAUGUGGUUGGGCCAAACUCAACCCAACCUUAAAUGUGUGUUUAGCAUGCCUUAUUUUUGCCAAAGGAAAAAUGCCAUUUAAAAAAAAAAACAUGUUUGCCAAACACGGCCUUAAAGUAUUUUCAAUGCUUCUGAUUUUAGGAUAAGGACACGUUUAGCAAAUACGUCCUCCUACCAUUUCCUUUAGCUUAGCUUCAUCUUUAUCUUGUCCUUAUUAUAGUGUUUAGUCAAACAUGCCCUAAACUAGUUCGGAAAGUAGGAAAAAAUUCAAGGAUCAUUUUAAAAUUAUUUAUGGGUCCCUCGUGUGUUUUUUCAACAUUUCUAUCUAAUAUGAGGUUAUAGACUUACACUGUAUGAUAUUGACUCGUAUUAAAAAUACCUGAUUUUCUUCCAAAAAUUAAAAAAAAAUCCUCCUUUCAAAAAUAAAAAAUAUAUAUAUGUUUUGUUCACGUGCAUAUGACCAAAUUCUAAAAAUCAUUUCACAUAUAUUUUAAAAAAUAUAUUUUUUUUAUCAUGUUUUAAAAAUACAAGAUAAAUAUUGUAAUUGAUUUAUGACUAUUCAUUAAUAUUUAGCCAAAAUCUCAAAAACACCACAAAAAUAAUUAAUUUGUUUAAUUAAUAUUUAGGAUAUGAAUUUUACAACGUAAUGCAUACUUCCAAUAUUAAAUUAAAUGAGUUAAAAGGAAUAAAUAUUAGAAAUUAGUUGUAGACUUUAUUAUUUAAGCGUAUAAAAUUAAAUUGUAAAGUAUAUCCUGAAAUAUUAAAGAUACAAAGUAGAAAAUAAAUAUGAUACUAAAAUUUGGAUUCUAAAAUGGUUAAGAUUUAACCCGAUAGGAUAGACACUUUCUCAUGAAAAAUGAUUUACUUCAAACCUUAGAUGAGACCAACGAAUAGAAACAUGGCUUAAAAUAACAAUCAAUCAGUAAUGGAACUUACCAUAGGUAGGGUGCACUGGAUUAAUGCGUCUUUCUCUUUACAACUAGUUCUCUUACUCAAACUCCUGUAAACCAAUAAAUUUUUUAUUAAAAUAAUACCAUACAACAACUCCUUUAAAAUCACAAUUUAUAAUCAAAUUCAAAACCCCUUCUAUUUAGAGAAAAACCAGUCAUUCCCCGCCUUGCAUGCCAUGAAAUUUAUCAUUCUAAUUUAUAAGAGAACUUGGCAUUGGGAUUGUUGCCUAUGGUCCCCUAGGACAGGGAUUCCUUUCAUCGGGGCCUAAGCUAGUUAAAAGCUUUUUAGAGGGUGACAUUUGGAAAAUCGGUAGGCUUCUUUGUGAAAAUUGAGUUUCCGACUAGUACCUGCGCAGUAAAUAACUAGUUGUCAUAGCAUAAAACCUUAUAGUUUAGAAAAGGAAUGUCACAAGUGCAUAUGAAACGCCUUGCAUAAACUUUACACCUACGAUGAUUUCCUUUUUGAUGAGUUUGCUAAAGCUUAGCUGCUGAAAUUUGUGUUGCAUUAAAUGUCUCAGGAUCUGCCUAGGUUCUGUCCAGAAAAUCUGGAGCAUAACAGGCAGUUAUUUGAGCGGGCCACUGAAAUUAUAUAGUGAAAUAACACCAGAUGAAAUGGCAGAACUCAAAUCCAUCACUUCUACAAGUGUUGUUCAAGGUGAUAGGUACGAGGUUUUCAUGCUUGCAUGCAGGAAUUCAGAAAGUCCACCUCUUUCAUCAUGGAAAGCUAUAUGAAAGAAUGUUGUCAUAUCUAUUAUCUUGCUGCUACUUGUAGAUUUCAGUUACCUUUCCAAGUGUUCUAAGAUUGUGGGAGUUAAUUUGCACACCAUCUGAAGAGAUCUAUGUUUUUCACCAUAAUUUAAUUUUAUCAUUAUUGUGUUUUUGCUCAGCUACAGAAAGAUGGCCUUUCAUAAUUACUUUGUCCUGUUAGAUUUUUAUAAUUGUUGAGAGCGAGCAAAACUUCUAUACGCGAGAGAAAAAUAAGAUUUUGAGUUUGUUCAUGCUUUUGUCAGUUUUGUAUAUUUAUUUUUUUAUAAAGUAAGAGAUACAUAUAUGUAUAAAUAUUUUAUAUUGAUUCUUUUUUAUUUUAAGUGUUUUAAUUUAUUUUAUAUUUUUUACUAAUAACAAACUAUUUUUUGUUUUUUUUUAAAUAUCAUGUAAAUAGAACUCACUUACAUAAAAUAUAAAAUAAAAAUAAUUGUAGAUAAAUUAUAAUAAUCUCUUCAAAGCAUUAUGAAAUUUAAUAUAUAUAUAUAUAUAUAUAUAUGUUUUAAUUUUCAAUUUCUCAACUCAUAAAUAUUUUUCAAUUUAUUCCAUUAUACAAUAUCUUUUUAUUUUUCAAUUAAGAAAAAUCAUGAUAUAAUGCAAACACUUCCUUCUCUUACAUUAUAAAUUGAAUUGAAAUUUUACACAAAAUAACAAGGAAAUGAAUACAACACCUAUUGCAAAUAAAAUAGUGAAUUAUAAAAUAAAAUAAAAUAAGAGAGAUUAAACAUUUAUUUAUUAUAGUUGUGACACAAUUCAUCAGUGAUUAGCAUAUAAAUUGUUUUUUUUUUCCUUCUCCGCACACACCAAAAGCAUGGUUAAUUAGGGGUAGAAUUAUCUUUUCUAAUAGAUCCAUUGUGCAGUACAAAAUUAGUUGGGGAUAAAUUGGUUAAUACUUUUUUUUUUUGCAUUGUCAAAUUAGUUUGUCUUUUUAUUAUCAUUUGCAUAAUAAAACUACACUUAUAUCUUUUAGAGAAAAUAACCAUUAAACUAGGGUUUUUUUUUUGUAUUUUUAGUUUUUUGAACAAUAAAGUUACAGUAUUAUCCUAAAAUCAAAAAAUUAUACAUCUGUUUUAAAGGGUACUUUUGGAUUUUACUUAUGUUUUUUUUGUUAUUUUGGGUUGGUCUAAGGGUUGUUUUGUCAUUUUAAAAGACUAAAUAUUAUUACAAAAAAAAAAAUUGUUGAUGCAUUAGUGCGUGACGAUUCUCGCGAGAGGCACAUGUAGGGCCUUCCAAUUAUCAAAUCCCACCAUAUAAGGCAGCGUUAGGAGAGGCUCAUCAUGUUUUUUUUAGUAGUGUGGUGCAUGCUUUUGGAGGAGGCAUAGUUGGCCCCUAACAAGCUUUUUUUUUUUUCUCCUUUCUUUUCUUUCUCCUAACCUAAAAAUUUAUGCCUGCCCAUUCAAAAAACAAUUUUGUCCUUCAUUUUGUAUUUCUAUCGUUCUUGGCUCUCAUUCUUUUAAUUACUAUAGAAAUCACAGAAUAUAGAGCAAACACUCUAGGCAUAGCAAUCCCUCUCUCCUAAAUAGAUAUUAGGAGAUUUUUCACUAGUGGUUUAUAUGAAUUAUUGUUUAAGGUUGGAUAAUUAGAUGACCUGUGGUUUGUAACAACCUACCCUUUAAAGAAUUAUUUGAAGCUGACGAAGAUCAAAUCUUCAAGUAAAAAAUCCCUAAGCAACUCUAGAUUUGUUUAACGAGAUCCUAAGACUCCUGAGUAAUUUUGUUUUAUUGUUUUUAAUAUUGUAUGACAUUUAGGAACCCAACAUUACUUAAGUAAGAUUUAUAUAUUAUUUGCUUUAACAAAUUAGCAUGUGACUCCUCAUCUUUGGAGAAAAGUAACACAUCAUCAAUGUAGAUUAAAGCUGAUCAAAGCAUGGGUUCAAAUACUUUAAUCAUGGCCUUUUAAAAUAAUAAGUGUGCCACUUUGAGACCAAAAGGUAUGACUCGCCAUUGAUACUGAUGGUCUGGUAUGCAGAAACUUGUUUUGUAUCUGUCUUUAAGAUGAAUGCCAAGUUGCCAAAAUCCGGUCUUGAGAUCAAACUUGGAGAAAACUUUGGCAUUAUGAAGGCAUGAGAAUAAUGUCAUUGUGUUUGGCAAAGGGAACUUAUCAUCUUGAAGGAAAUGAUUCAAGGGCAGAUAAUUAAUUACCAACUUAAGCUUGCCUCAUUUUUGUUCAAACCUUUUAUAAACAUAAAAGGCUUCACAAGACCAUUGUGAGUCUAUAGGUUCAAUGAGACCUUGGGCUUGUAAUUGGACACAUUCAUCUUGAGCUAGCGUCUUGUGCUCGGGAUUCAUUCAUGAAUGACUGGCUUUCAUGGGAUAAAUGUCUUUAUUAAGCUUGAGAUAUUGAAGCUUAAUAAUAAAAAAAAAAAAACUAUGGAUUUUGCCAUAAUGUUUAGCAAGAAAUUCUUGAUGAGAGUUUGAACAUGAGUGUUGGAUGAUUUGGGCUUUGAUGAGGGAAAUGGUUUCUGUGAGAGAGGGUUGGAUUUCAUAGAGUGAAGGGAUAGUUGUAUAUGAGAGAAAAUGGGCUUUAUACUGAAUACCACAAGGAAGGAUUUUGAACUUGGAUUUGAAAUAAACAUCAAACCUAAUAACUAAAUCUUUUCCAUGUAAAAAAGAACCAAGGACAUGGGUUUUGACUGAACAUUAGGGUAAGAUUUGUAUGGUAAUGGGCUUUUUAGUUUUGAAUUGGGUGCUUAAUACUUGAUCAUCUACAGCUCGAAAGUAUUCUUUUAUGUAGGACCCAACAAUGUUGUGGAAGAACUUUAGGGUUAAGAAUGGUUAUAUGGGCUCCUAUGUCAAAUAAGGCUAUGUAUUUGAUAGGCUUAGCAUAUCUGGAGGUAAGAAUGGUAACAGGGGCUAAAGGUAUUGGAUGUGAAGGGGUACUAAUAGGUUGGGCUUGGUAAAGUUCAUAGAUCUCAUCAUCAAAACUUUCAUCUACAACAGCAAUAAUGGUAUCAGAAGUGAUCUCAUCUGGAAGAGAGAAUAAGGAUUCAACUUCAUCAUCGUUAGGAUUGAACUUUGUAUUUUAGGUCAGAAAAUCAAUUAACUUCAAUGAUUGGGCCUUCUUUUGUUGACAGGUCUUUGUAAAGUGACCUUUGCGCUUACAGAUGAAACAUCUGUUAGAGCUAGGAGUGAAGUGUUUGGGGAGUCUAACGUGGUGGCAUCCUAAGAACUUCCAUUUCUCAUUGUGACCAUUAAAAGAAGAUCUGUGGAUUUUCUUAAAAUGCUUCUUCUUUUUCAUCGAAUAAUUGCAAUUAGCAUUGUCUAAACAUUUGAUUAGCAAAUCUGGUCGUUUGCAAGCAUAGAGCAUAGUUUUAUAAGGCUGUAAUAUCUUGGUGAAAUAUUUGUGUUGAUCGCAUAUUUUGUUGAGACACGUAAUGAAAUAUGGUGCCAAGAGAUUGGUUGUCAAUAACUUCUUUUCUGGUUUUGAAUAAUCUGAAAGUUUCAUUAGCGAGAUCUCUAGGUAUGGAUGCCAAAAAGGCAUGCUUGAGGCUUGGAUCAUCGGGACCAGAGAGAAUAUGGUAUCGUUGGUAAAUUUAUUUAAAAUAUCUUUCAAGAUCAUAUCUCAAAUAGAAACAAUGCUUCAUUUUAAAGUACUCAUACCAUGCUAUUUCUUUGUCAUUUAAAGCUUCUCCAAGGAAUUCAUAAUGGAGCCCGCCUAAAUCUUCAGAAAGAGACGCAUUAUUCACAAAUUGCAUUUGCAUGUAAUCACCUAAGACGUGGAACCAAUCCUAUAAUGUGCCAGAGAACUAUGCAGAUAAUUUUUUUAAUGUAUCCCUAAGGGUUGUGCCACCCUUGAGCAUAUAGCUAGUUAGCCAUGAAUGAAAUUCAAGGAUUUUAUCUCAUCAUUUUAUUCAUGGGAUAUCAUCUAGAGUAAAAUAACCACAUGUACUUGGAGAAUGGAUAUGGAGUUGAUAAUAGCGAGGAUUGAGAUUUACUUCAUCAUCACUAUUAACUGGUUCAUCCACACUAACUCUUGUGGUAGAGGUCGGAGUAGGCUCUUGCUGAGUUCAUGAUGAUAAGGGAUCUGAUGUCUAUGCUGGAGAAGGAUUAGCCAGUGGUGUCAUAAAACAAGUGUUAAAAGAAUCAUAUUCAGUGAAAUAUUCUUCAGAAGCUACAAGAGUUUCAUCAUCAAGAGUCUCUUCUUUAGAUGUAUUGUCAAGAGGUUUAUGGGUAAGGAUUUUAGAAAUAGUUUGUUGCGAAUAAGUAGUAAGAAAAGACUAGAUAGGGUUGGAAGGUUGGUUUGACUGGAUCAUAAGGUGAUAAGGGUCCUGGAAGUCUUGGAAGGGAUCAUCAGGUUCAUGCUUUUUAGAUUCAAAAGAAUCAGAGGAUGAAGAGAUGAUAGACCACUCGCGAAACCCUUUUCGUGUUUUAUUCUUCAUCGGGCAGGUCACCUGAAAAAAUGAGAUCACUCAUGAAAUCCUUCGCGUUGCUUCUUCCUAUCGGGCAAGUCACCUGGAAUAAUUAAACCACUUAUAAAACCCUUUUUGCAUUUUAUUCUUCAUCGGGCAGGUUGCUUGGAAAAAUGAGACCACUUGCAAAAUCCUUCGCAUUUCUUCUUCUUAUUGAGCAGGAAGGGUGAAAAGAACCUCCAUCGGGGAGUGAAAUAGAACAUGAAACCGUAAGCUCCCAAGUAGUGGGAGGAGCCCGGGGCUCUCACCGCGUGCCUGUUGAAGAAUGAGCCGGCGACUCAUAGGCAGUGGCUUGGUUAAGGGAACCCACCAGAGCCAUAGUAAAAGCGAGUCUUCAUAGGGCAAUUGUCACUGCUUAUGGACCCGAACCUGGGUGAUCUAUCCAUGACCAGGAUGAAGCUUGGGUGAAACAUAGUGGAGGUCUAAAUCGACUGAUGUUGAAGAAUCAGCGGAUGAAUCAGCGGACUGAAAUGCCACUCGAACCUAGAGCUAGUUAGUUCUCCUUGAAAUGCGUUGAGGCGCAGCAGUUGACUGGACAUCUAGGGGUAAAGCCCUGUUUCGGUGCGAGCAUAUGUAUUUUACAAAUUAUCACAAGUCCAAGUUAUUAACCUAUAUAAGUUAAGAUUUGUCCUUCAAUAUCAUGGAGCAUCUCUUUUUCUUAAGAAGAAUUAGUGUAUUUUGAUUUGUUUUAUCAAUUUUUUUCUUUUUUUCUUUUUUAUUAUACAUAUAAAUGUAUUUAUUAAUCAUUUUUCUUGGUGAUUCAAGAAAAAAUUGUAUAUUGAUCCUCGAAAUAUUAAUGAUAGCUAGAAGGAUAUUUAUAUAUAUAUAUAUAUAUAUAUAUAUAUUUUUUCAAUCAAAAUUUUGAUAAAAAAAAAUAUGAUUUACAGACUAAUUGAGCAUUGUUUCUUUUUAAUAUCUGUAAAAUAUUUUUUGAUGAUUUUAAUUUUAAUCUUUUAGCAUUAUAACUUAGUUUGUUAGGACUAAUAUUUCUUUCUGAGAUUAGAAAUCAUUUUUUCUUUCCUUUUGUAAUUUUUUCUAUUUGAUUUCUUAUUGUCUUUGUUCUGGCAUUCAGAUCUUUCAUUCGAUAAUCCAAUUUUGGUUCAAAUUCUUGAUAAUUAGAAAUAAGAAGGAUAAAAUAAAUUUUAUUUAUCCAAAGCAUCUCUAUGUAAUUUUUUAUGGAAAUUUCAUUUAUGAUUGAGGGUGAAAAAAAAAUUGAUUUUUCCACGAUAGAGCCCACUCAAAAAAGGAUCAUAUAUUUUAGGCAAGUAUUAUUUUUUAGUUUCAUCAUUACACAAUCUAGUCUUUUUUUCGAGUAUAUUCAAAACACGAAACCCCUUAUCUAGAACUUCUACUCUAUUUAUAAACUCGUUACUUAGGUUUUUCUUUUUUUGUUCAUUGUUAUAAUUCCAAUGAUUAUACAAUUCAUCAGAGGAGAGUUUUUCUGUUGUGAACAGAGACAUCUUUCUUUGUAUCAUUUCCAAAAAAGUUGACAAACUAGGUGGAUAUGUAAAGGAUAUUCUUUCUUUUCCAUCACUUCAACAUGUAGAAAAAAAAUAUUGUGACAUUUCCUUUCUUACAACAUUCUUAAAUUGAUCGUUUUUUAUAUAUCGAAAUGGACGAUUCCAGUGUUUAUAGUCGAAAAUAAUAGUUACACGAGGUUUUUCAAACCAUAUGAGAUCUUUAUCUUUUUUAUCUAAAAAUAUUUCUAACUUCGAAUUUUAUUGAUUCCCAUCUAAAUAAAAAGUUUCAUAAACAGGUCUAUUUUUAUAGCAUGUCUCUUUAAAGUGAAAAUGGAAUUCAUCCUUUGUUUUUUCCUUUCCAUUCACUCUAAUCUCUUCCGUUUCGUCGAUUUUGUCAGAAUUCUCCUUUUCUUCUAAAGAUAAUUGUAUUUUGACUAAGUUAUUAAUAUUCAUAUAAAAAUGGAUAUAAAUUAAUAUUAAUAUAAAAUAGAGAUAAGGUAGACAAAAAACUUUAAACUCAGCCAAUAAAAAAUCCUUCAAUUAUCAGUUAAAAAAAGAAUAAAAGAAAUCAUAUUUUCAUACAAUAUCUUAAUGGAAUUCUAUAUUAUGAUCAAUAAAUUUAGUUUAAUUCUAUAUCUACACAUAUCAAAAUACGAACAGCAAGCUAAUCCAGUUCAUACAUAUUUUACAUAGAUUUGAUGUAGAAUCUAUUUCUAUAGAUAUGAAUUAUCCGUAUGAUGGCUCAUUUCAGAAUUGAAUCAAAUGGGCCCUUUUAACUCAGUGGUAGAGUAACACCAUGGUAAGGCGUAAGUCAUCGGUUCGAAUCCGAUAGGGGGCUUUGUCCUUUUUUCAUAAAACUCCCGCGAGAGUAUUUCUAUUUGAAAGGAGAUUUCAUUUGAAGGGGGAAUAGAGAUAUUGUUAAUAUUUGCAAUAAAUAAGGUAAGAAACUCUAUAUUUCUAAUAAAUAGAAUUCUUCUAAAUUCUAAAUUAAAUUAGAAGGUUAACAUUAUAAUGAUUUAUACUCGAAUUUAGAGUAUACUAAUAUAGUAAUUAUAGUUAUAAAAUUGAAUAUUUGUUUAUUAUAUUAAAAUGAAUAAUGAUAAGUUGGCUCUUAAAUCGUCAAACUUUCCUAUUUUAUAGGAGUCCAAUCAAAUCAAUUGUAAAGAUUAGAUUAGAAAUCAACAAAAGAAAACGUAAGUGGACCUAACCCAUUGAAUCAUGACUAUAUCCAUUAUUUUGAUAGUCAAAUUCGAUAUAGAUGAAAUUGGAAUAUUAGAUCUGCUUUUUUCUUUCAUUUUCAUAUUUCUUUGGACUCUGAAAAAAACAAUCUGUUGAUAUUUCUGAUUCAAUCUUUUUGUUCCUAGUUAUCUAGUUAUUCUAUAGGAAUAAAUUACUAUUUCCUUCCUCCAUUCCACAGAUGCCUGGAACAAUUAGACCAUUUAAAACAAAAACAAAAACCAAAAAAAUAUCAAAAAAGGGGUAAGAGUUUUUACGCUUAUUUUUCUUUACAAAACUUAUUAUACAAAGUCAGAAGAAAAUGAAUUUUUCAAUGCGCACCGUAUGCAUUGUAAAGAGAGGUCAACUGUCAUAACCCAAUUUUGGACAAAAAAAAUGAAAAAAAUAAAAUGAAUGAAAAAUUGAGGUUUUGACUCAAGACAACACAAAUUGAAAGCUUUCAGAGGUUAAUCAUAUUGGAUUUAUAACUUUGGAAGUUUGUUUUGAAAGAAAUUGAAAUAAUUAACUGGUAUGGGGUUCCAAUUAAACUUUGAGUGGGUUUAAUUAAUGAUAUCAGGAAUUUGAUUGAACAAUGGAUAAGUUUGAUGAUUUAAUUAGGCUUAGAAUUAGUUAAUUAAUGAAAUCAGAGGUAUAAUUGAAUACAUUUUAAAUUUCUAAGUUAAUUAAUGACAAAAUUACAAGUGAUUAAGGUUCAUGGAUCAUUUUGUAUAAGGGGCCGAAAUUCUUUCCAGGGGCCCAAUUAAAAAAUGUUGAAACUUGAAAGACCAAAUUGAGAGAUUGCCAUUUCCAUCCAAAACGACACCAUUCGUUAAUUAUUGUUCAUUGUCUUCUUCCUUUGAAAAACAAAGGAAAGCUCCCUCCAAAAAUGAAAUGAAAAAAAUAAAUAAAUAAACUAGUCACCAGACACAUGGCAAUACCCACGACUUCCAUUAUCAGCCCAUCAGUUCACCCUCGUAUACAUCAUCGCCACAAGGUACCAACAACAUAGAGGAGAUCACCACUAACAGCCCAGCCGGGGCAGGACUAUCGAUGUCCCAGUCCACCCAAAACACGAUGUUUCAAGAAUAUCUCCACAUAGAGAUAAACAUCAAGGGAGAUAAGGAUUGAAUCCCAUAUCCAAGUCCCAGCAGGACUUAUCCUCUGCCAAAGAAAGAAGAGGCGUAUUAGGGAACAACCAGUGGAUUAUGGCCCCUAUAAAAGGCCAUCGGGGUCACUAUAAGAAAAAAGGGAGUAGAGCAGAGAGCAAGAAAAAAACAGAAGGACGACGGAGAGGAAAACAAAGAAGAAGAGAACACACAAAACAGAGGUGGGGGUCACUGCACAAUGGCUAUCCCUUUUUGCUCGUUCAUAUCUAGAGCAAUCUCCAGACAAGGUAAGCUUUCCUCUCCCUUUUCAUUUUCUUUUAAUCUUCUAGGGCAUUUUGCAUUGUGCCAUGCAAGCCUGAACAACUUCACGCGUGCUUUGCCAAGCUAGAAUAAUGGGUCGGGCCUGGGCUCUAAGCCCAGUCGGCUCAACUUGUGUUUGGCAAAACACACCCUUAUGCCUUGGCCAUAAUUGUUAUGUCCAUUCUAGUUUGAUUUUUGGCCAAACGAACCCUUUUUCUAUAUCAGAAAAUUCCAAAAAUAUCUGGCGGUCUUCAAUGAUUUAUUUGUGGGCCCCUCGCACUUUAUUUAUUUUUUUCUUUGUGUUUGUAUUUUUUGUUUUUAGCUAUGUGCUCAAUUUGUGAACUAUUACUCUCAAAUGCAAAUAUGUCGUGCAAAGUUUUUUAUUUCCAUCUAAAAAGGGUCAAUAAUAAUAAAGGAUAAAACAAGGAAAAUGGCAUAGAAAAUUUCUUCUUCAAAUUCAUUUUUUGUGAAAAUAUUCACUGACGCUAAAGGAGUAUCGUAUUUUUUGGAUUUGCGCGAUAUUUACCAACGCUAGAGUUGGAAAUAUUCGUUGGAAUUUUUCACUGAUGCUAGAGUGAAGAACAUGAAAGGAAGGAUAGAAAAGGAAAAAGAGAACAAAUUCUUAGCAAUUUUAGACAAAAUCAGCAAUGCAGCUUGCAUUAGGUAGGACGUUUAAAGGGUGAUAGUAUCUUUCAUUUUACGUAACCAGUCUCGUACCAUAGAAUCUCUGUUGACCAGUUAGGGUUCCUAGUGACCAUAAUAUUAGGCGGUGACUCCUUGAACAAGACUUUUUUACCCUAAAAAAACAAGAUGCCAGAUAUCUGUUCUUUUUCCAAUCGAGAUUAAUUUUUAAUCGGUCGUCGCGAUAUCCGGGUGUGACAAGAGUGACUAAAAACUUUAUAUACUCGACUUACCUGAAAAUAAUUGUUCAAAGUAUCUUUUAUUUAUUUUAUAUUGAAUCGGCUAGAUUUAAAUUAUGUUUGAAAGGGAUAAGUGAAUCACUAAAAAUCUAGACGAGUUUAUUGAGUCAUGGAUUUAUCCAAUUCAACUAAAAUUCAAGUAAAUUUGCUAAUAUAUGCUGGAUUUAACCACUAUAUUUUAUCUAAAAACCUGGCUCCGGUUAAACUUGAAAUUACAAGUUUUCCAUGUAAAUCUUCCGGUCCAUACUUGGAUUUAAAAUCUAUACUUUACACAUAGUGGAAAACAAGUUGUGGAAUUUGUGAUCAUGCCUAAUUGAAUAAUGUAUAUAAUAUAGUCUAAGCAUUUGCAUGUCAAUGCCGUUUGCGUUGGAAUUUCAAUGUGUCUAGAAGAGAGAAAGAGAGUCAUGUCAUUUAUUUAUUUUAAUUAUUGAGAAUGACCAAAAUUUUAUAUUAUAUCUCUCAUAGUCGAUAUAAAAACUUGCUUGAAAAUAAUUCUUUAAAGUAUCAUUUAUUUAUUUAAUUUUUAAUUGUUGAGUGACUAAAAACUUUAUAUACUUGCUAUUCAAGCCAACGGAUGUCCAUAUAAUGGAGCGUCAGCUCAAACAUCAUCAGUUACGCAGAUGCUUACGUUAGAAAUUGUUCUUGGAUGACAAGUCGCUUCAUUCACUUCCUCUAUUUAUGGCAGUUUCGUUUUAUUUGCUAGGCUACCGAGAACUCGUACACGCACUCAGUCCGUCAUUCUUGAGAACCAAAUUAAACAAGAACAAGAGAGAUGGCAACAGUGAAAAGGAUCAAGCUGGGGUCACAGGGACUUGAAGUAUCAGCACAGGGACUUGGAUGCAUGGGCAUGUCUGCCGCCUACGGCCCUCCAAAGCCUGAAUCGGACAUGAUCGCACUCAUCCACCAUGCCGUCAACACUGGUGUCACUUUACUCGACACCUCCGAUGUCUAUGGACCCCACACCAACGAAAUCCUUCUGAGCAAGGCCUUGAAGGCGGGAGGAUUACGACAGAGAGUUGAAUUGGCCACCAAAUUUGGCAUCAGCAUUAAGGAUGGCACUUUUGAGGUUCGAGGGGAUCCUGCUUAUGUGAGAGCUGCUUGCGAGGCCAGCUUGAAACGCCUUCAACUUGAAUCCAUUGAUCUUUAUUACCAACAUCGCAUUGAUACCAGCGUUCCUAUUGAAGCUACGGUAUUUCUCUUUAAUUGUUUUUGUUUCUGAAUAUUGUUCUGAUUAAUCUUGAUCGUUCGAUGGCGAUGAUGAUAGUUAGAGAAUUUUCUUUUACUUCAUAUAUUUUCCAGAAUCUGUAACAGGAAUAUCCAAAAAUCCUAAAACUUCAGCAUAAACCCACUAAAAUUAUAGAUUAGACACGGUACUGAUGAUACCGUCAUGCUUAUUAUGUGCAUUGACAUCUUGCAGUGGUCUCUUUCGUAGAUGGAUUCUGACAAUGCUACUAUUGGAUACUGUCUGCAUUCUAGCAGUUGUGUACUCAUAAUUCUUUUCUUUGCUAGAUGGGGGAACUCAAGAAACUAGUUGAAGAAGGUAAAAUAAAGUAUAUAGGUCUGUCUGAGGCCUCUGCUUCAACAAUCAGAAGAGCUCACGCUGUUCAUCCGAUCACAGCCGUGCAGUUGGAGUGGUCACUGUGGUCAAGAGAUGUGGAGGAAGAGAUUGUUCCUACCUGCAGGUGAUUGAUGAGAAAAACUAAUUUCCUUUGGAGAUCAAAAUAACCGAAACCUUAGGCUGUUUAUGGGAUGCCUUAGAUAUCGAGAUUCUGAUCUUAUCAUUCUAAUGGUUCAGGGAACUUGGCAUUGGGAUUGUUGCUUACAGUCCUCUAGGACGGGGAUUCUUUUCCUCUGGGCCUAAGUUGGUUGAGAGCCUUACAGAUGGUGACUUCAGAAAGGUAGGUUCUUUUCUUUUUGAACAUAGAGUUUGUGAUCUGUGUAAUACAUGUCCAGUAAAUAACCAAUUUUACAAGCAUAAUCUUUUACAGUAUGGAAAGGAAGGAAUGUCACAAAUCACAUUUCCUCCUUUGACUGUUAUAUGCGUUACAGAAUAAUAUAAAACCGUUCUUGAAAACUCACCUCAUAACUUAAACUUUUAAGUAACGAGUUUUUGACAAUAUAUUGGUUAGCUUAGAUGCCUCAAAAAAUAGUCUCUCCCAUCUUAUGGAGUGGUUUGGUGGUCUAAACACCAUAGAAGAAACUUGCACAAAGUAAAAGUUUAGCUUUGAGAUCAUUGUAUAUAUUUUACCUAGCAGUUCUUUCACAUUUGCAUUAUUCCUACAAAUAUGCUGUACACUUGGAUUUCUUAAAGAUUCAAUCAAAUAAUACACAGAUUUACAGGCUUAGCUGCUGAAAUUAACUAGUGUUUCAAUUGUCUCAGGGUUUGCCUAGGUUCCAACCUGAAAAUCUUGAACAGAAUACACAACUAUUUGAGCGGGUUAAUGAAAUGGCUGCAAGGAAACAGUGCACUUCAUCGCAGCUGGCGUUGGCCUGGGUACACCACCAGGGUGAUGAUGUAUGUCCUAUUCCUGGAACCACCAAGAUCGAAAACUUCAACCAGAAUGUUGGAGCUCUGUCUGUCAAACUAACGCCAGAAGAAAUGGCUGAACUCGAAUCAAUAGCUUCUUCAGAUGCUGUAAGGGGGAGAUAGGUAUGGCGAUGGCCUGUCUACAUUCAAGGAUUCAGACACUCCACCUCUUUCAUCAUGGAAAGCUGUAUAGAAGGCAUGCUUCCAUGCCAUCCUGUCUUGCUUCUACUCGUGGAUUUUCAGCUCCCUUUGAAGUUUUCUAAAAUUG